UGAUCUCUUUGUCCUAGUCAAAGUAGAACCUUCCCAGUUCCCUAAGAAACGAGACUACAAUUCUUCUCAAAAUUUCUGAAGUUUUUUUUUUUUUUUUUUUUUUGUUAGCAACUAAUUUUUAUUGAAUAAUACAAACAUUAUUACAGGACUUGACAAGCACAAACAUAAAGCAAAUAACAUAACCAACUGCAUAUAUAUACAAGAAGUCAAAUCUUCCAUGCAUCCUUGAUUCUUGCAGCAGCCUACGGUGAUUCACAAUUAGCUUCAAACUCUUAUAGCGAAAACAAGAUUCGUUCAUGAGCAUAAUCUUUCGUCUGAGCCACCACUUAGUAAAGUAUAAUUCUCUCGAAGAACUCUAAAGAACCAGAAGAAUUCCUGAGAACGAAAUGAGGAUCGAAACAGGGAAGAUCCUAAGGGUGGGUACAAGUAAAUGCAAAGCAUUUACCCUGCCGCCAGACGCAAACAUAAGGCAUCCAAAAAGGGCAAACCCUACACGCUCCAAACAACAAAAGUUUGGUGUGUUUAAACCAUCGGCUAACCUGGGGAGAGAACUCACACUCAACCAAGCAAAUAACCAAAAGAAAGAGUAUACCCCUGAUGAAAAUUGUUUCACCGUGAAGACCGAAACUAAUUGAGAACGACACAAGAAUGCACACAAGAAACCAAAAGGACUCAUAGACAGAUUCAUCAUUUCCCCUAGUACAGAAUACCAGGCGAAAGGGUAUCCAAAACAACUACAAACCAGCAAAGAAAAAAAACACAAAGACAGGAGAAUGUGGAGAGAUGAUAACAAUUGAAUAAAAAUUUACAGCAAAACUACCUAAAUGGUAGAACACAAAAUCAAAUACAAAAGUAGAGAGGGAUGAGACAACCUUUAAAAUAUCAAAAUUACUAAAAAAAAAACUCACAGAAGUGCACUUGAUUUGCAAAAGAAAUGGUAAAACUCAAUAUAUGAUCACACCAUCAUCAAAUAAGGAAAUCAAAGAAGAGAUGAGCACUCAAAACCCCCAACCUGCAAGAUCACCGAUCAAAUUUUGUUUACCCCAUUUUAUUCAAUUCUACCAACGAACUUUUACCAAAUAUCCAAAUCAAGAACACCAAAACGGCGUAACGCGACCUUGAUGCUUAAUUGAAGAGAUUAGUAAAAAAUUAAGAUGAUGAAAGUAAAAAUUAUUGGUAUUAUGAUGUAUGAACUCAGGAAUACAGUUUACACGAAUUACAGAAAUGAAAAUACACUAGAACAGAAAACAAGUAAUAUAUUUAUUAAUUGAAUUCAACAAAACAGUAACACUUACUACACCGUAUGAAGGAUUAAGGAGAUGAACAGAGGCUUGCCGAAGCAAUAUCCUUAAGACAAUAUUACGUCCCUGCUACUGGUGCACACAGGUACUGGACGAUAGUCUCCCAAGAUACAACUGUUCUGCACUCUGCUAGACUGCACUGUAAUAGCAGAGUUCUGGCGAACAAACAAGAAGAUCCUUCGAAUGCUUUAGAGAGAGAGAGAGAAGCAGACUUAGUCUGUAUUGAUUGUGUGCUUACUGGCCAGAACAACACGCAAUUUAUAGGCUAAGUCGUGCCUGUUCACAACAGACACGCACCUGUUGGAAAACGUCUUUUCUCAACAGGUGCAACUCUUGGCAGACUUAUGAAACGUUUAAGGCCCAAAGGACGUACUGUUUCAUUUUGAACAGACAUAUCUGUUAAGGCAAAGAUGUAACAUGAUCCUGUGAACCCGUUCACAACUUAACUAAAUAAGUGGUGGACCAAAAAGAUAAGAUAACUUAUCAACCACCACAUAGCCCAAGCCUAAGCCCGAACCGAACCGAACCGAGCCGAGCCGAGCCGGUCGGUCGGUCGGACGGACGACGGCGGCGGCGCGCGUGUGUGUGGUGGACCACUAAGUGUAUAGCCUUGCGCUAUCGCGCGAAAACUUGGUAACCCAAAGGGCUACACCCUUAGUGUUAUUAUUUUGUAUUUAUACAUCUUUACUCACUUCCCACAACUCAUGUGGGACUAAGUGUUUUACACACUUAGUUCAUUCAAUCAAUGAAAUGGUCUGACACUGUUUCUCUAACAAUCCCCCACAUUGAAUGAACUCCGUCUACACAUUCUCAAAAAAGCUUCUUCGAAGAGUAUGUUGGAACAACAUUGCCUCGGGAUAGGUAGAUAUUUCACUUUGAACCUUCCGUAGCAUAGACCUAUUGGAUUUACUUAGCUAAUCAGUGAAAUAUUUCAUCUUGAACUGUCAGCUGUUGGUGUAAACCAAGACAAUAAGCCAUGCACAAUGUUAUCCCGAUUCUUGUUUAAUUCUCGGUUGUGUUCAUUUUGGCCCUGAACAAUCUUAGGUUCUGCGAGUGCUACUAGAGAUAUUCUGCCUUUAAGAAAUCUCAUAGAGCCGACCCAGCUCUCACUAACAUAGGUGACCGCUCCUAUUUAAGGGUAUCCUACUAUACCCCACUUGUGUUUCACAAGAUAUAGGCGUCAUUAAAAGCAUAGCUUAGCCUGAACGACACUGUAGGUUGCACUUGUUGCAUCAUGGAAAUGGGAUAGAGAAAAUUCUCCCAAGUGCUCCUGGUGAGUUACUCAGAACUGGUUGUCCUGUUGAACCUAGUCCGUGGGAUCUCCAGUCGCUAGGUUAGGUUUCCGUAUAAGGUAACUCGUGGUUAUUGAGGCGUUAGCCCCAUUCCCCUCGAUGCGCAGUCAAUUUUCUCUCUAGAUAAACCUUUAGUAAACGGAUCCGCAAGGUUAUCUUUUGACUUCACAUAAUCAAUGGAUAUGACUCCAUGUGAGAGUAACUGCCUCACGGUAUUAUGUCUACGACGUAUAUGUCGUGAUUUACCGUUAUACAUAAAGUUUUGAGCUCUUCCUAGAGCUGCUUGAUUGUCACAAUGGAUACAUAUGGUCGAUACCGGUUUCGGCCAUAAUGGGAUGUCUUCUAAGAAACCCCUAAGCCACUCAGCUUCUUCACCUGCUUUAUCUAAAGCUAUGAAUUCAGAUUCCAUUGUGGAUCUUGCUAUGCAAGUUUGUUUUGCAGAUCGCCAUGAUACUGCACCACCCCCCAAAGUAAACACAUACCCACUGGUUGCCUUGGAUUACCCUGAAUCAGAAAUCCAAUUUGCAUCAGUAUAACCUUCAACAACACUUGGAUAUCUUCCAUAGUGUAAGGUAUAAUUAGGUGUAUCUUUUAAAUACCCUAAUACUCGCAAAAGAGCAUUCCAGUGUUUUCGGCCUGGAUUACUAGUAAACCGACUUAGUUUACCAACUGCAUAGGCAAUAUCUGGUCUUGUACAGUUCUUGACGUACAUUAAACUACCAAUGAUUCGAGAGUACUCGAGUUGAUCAAUGAUAGGACCAUGAUUUUUAUGUAACACCAUAUUUGGAACAAAAGGUGUAUUUGUCUUUUUUAUUCCAUGAUGUUUGAACCUCUCUAUAAUUUUUUCAAUAUAAUGAGUUUGAGAUAGCCCAAUUUCAUUAGGUGUUCUAAUUAUCUUAAUUCCCAAGAUAACAUUUGCCACACCUAGAUCUUUCACUUCAAAGUUGUUUUUGAGCAUCUUUUUCGUAGACAUAAUAAUUUCAUUAUUAGUCCCGAAAAUGAGCAUGUCAUCGACAUAUAAACAAAUAAUGACGUAAGCCUCGCCUACUUUCUUGAAAUAGACACAUUUGUCACAUUCAUUGCUUUGGAACCCAUUCUUUAUCAUGACUCCAUCGCUGGUUAUAUGCCAUUGUUUUGGAGCCUGUUUAAGACCAUAGAGGGAUUUAACCAGUUUACACACUUUGUUUUCUUUCCCUUUGACUUGAAAACCUUCUGGUUGUUCCAAAUAAAUCUCCUUUUUUAAGUCACCAUAUAAGAAUGCAGUUUUAACAUCCAUCUGAUGUAUUUCCAUAUUAAAUAUGGCUGCAAUCGCGAUUAACAUUCUAAUUGAUGUUAUCCUCGUUACUGGUGAGUAUGUGUCAAAAUAGUCUAAACCUUCCUUUUGACGAUAUCCUUUUGCUACUAGUCUAGCUUUAUACUUAUCAACCGAACCAUCUGGUUUCAGUUUUCGUUUGAAUAUCCACUUAUACCCCAUGGUUUUACUUCCUGGUGGAAGAUCAACCAAUUCCCAGGUAUUGUUGCUUUGGAUGGAUUCAAUCUCAUUUGCAAUUGCUUCCUUCUAAAGUGGAGCAUCCGGAGAAGACAUUGCUUCUUUAUAUGUCCUAGGUUCAGUUUCUAACAUAUAAGUUAAGAAAUCCGGACCAUAUGACUUCGAAGUUCUUGCCCUUUUACUGCGUCUGGGCUCUUCCAAUUCAGGCUCAUCUGAAUUGUCAUCUGGUUCAUUUGUUCCAUUAGACACCUCAUGUGUCCGUUUUGGAGUUUUAUCUACAUGAUCUUUCCUAUGAGGAAAGACACUCUCGAAGAAUGUAGCAUCACGAGACUCAAUAAUAGUGUUAACACUUAUGUCACUAUUUUCAGAUUUAAAUACCAAAAAUCUGUAUGCACUACUGUUUUGGGCAAAACCCAAAAAAUAGCAAUCAACUGUUUUAGGCCCAAGUUUAGUUCUCUUGGGUGGAGGAACCAUUACUUUGGCCAGACACCCCCACACUUUAAGGUAUUUAUAAUUGGGUUGUCGUCCUUUCCAUAACUCAUAUGGAAUGGUUUCAGUUUUCUUGUGUGGUACUCUGUUUAAUAUGUGAUUAGACAUAUGUAGAGCUUCCCCCCACAGGUUCUCAGGUAGACCAGAAGUUAUAAGCAUGAUAUUAAUCAUAUCUUUUAACGUUCUGUUCUUCCUUUCAGCAACACCAUUUUGCUGAGGUGAGUAGGGUGCUGUGGUUUGAUGGAUUAUUCCAUUUUCAGCACAGACUUGUACGAAUGGUGAUUCGUAUUCACCCCCUCUAUCAGAUCUUAUGAUCUUGAUUUUCUUAUCUAACUGAUUCUCAACUUCAGUUUUGUACUUUAUAAAAGCACUUAUUGCCUCGUCUUUACUGUUAAGUAAAUAUACAUAACAGUAGCGAGUACAGUCAUCAAUAAAUGUGAUUAAAUACUUCUUCCCACCUCGUGUUGGAAGUGAUUUAAAAUCACAUAAAUCAGUAUGUAUUAAACCUAGUGGCUGAGUACUUCUCUCAACCGAAUGAAAAGGUUGUUUAGCAAAUUUUGCUUCCACACAAGUCUCACACUUAUGUGUUUUCUCUAUGUCAAAUUUAGGAAUUAAUCCUAAACUUGCUAGUUUCUUCAUUUUUCUGUAAUUAACAUGACCUAAUCUGUCAUGCCAUAAAUGUGGUGACUCAAGCAAGUAAGAAGAAUUAUUUUUAUUCAUAGAAUCAGAAUACACUUUUGCCUUGUUGGUUUCAACAACGGCUACAUUUGCAUUAAAAAGGCCAUCACUUAGAUACCCCUUUCCCACAUACAUCCCACCUUUGGUCAGCACAAACUUAUCUGACUCAAAGACCAUUUUGAAACCUUUCUUACUAAGGACAGAACCAGACACGAGGUUCUUCCUGAUGUCAGGUACAUGGAGAACAUCAUUGAGAGUGACUUUGUGUCCAGAAGUGAAUUUCAGAACCACUUUCCCAUAGCCUUCAACCAUUGAAACUGCAGAAUUGCCCAUAAAGAGCUUUUCUUCAUGCUCCAUCUUCUGGUAGGUAGAGAAGAGACUCUUGUCAGCACAGAUAUGACGGGUAGCCCCAGUGUCUAUCCACCAUUCCUUGGUAUUAGAUACCAAGUUCACUUCAGAAACCACCGCAGACAAGUGCAUGUUGUCAAUCUCCCUGGAUAUGUCAGUCAUGUUCGCCUCAGGAGCUUUUUCGUCUUUGCGGUGCCUGCAAUCUUUGGCCAAGUGACCUUUCUUACCACAAACAAAACAGCCCCCUUUGAACUUUUUCUGACCUUUGUCCUUGGGUGCAUUGUUGGACUGAUUCUUCUUCCUCUUCUUAGAGGAAGUCUUACUUUGCUUUGAGGUCUCCACCACAUGUGCCUUAGCCUCAAACGUACUUCGGGUUUCAGUACCCCUGUUGUCCUCUUCAAUCUUCAGUCGCACUAUCAGAUCAUCCAGACACAUUUCCUUUCGCUUAUGUUUCAGAUAAUGCUUGAAAUCUUUCCAAGAAGGAGGCAGUUUCCCAAUGAGUGCUGCCACUUGAAAAGACUCACCAAUUACAUGGCCCUCAGCAUGGACUUCAUGUAAUAUGAUCUGGAGUUCUUGGAUUUGAUCAGAAACAGACUUGGAAUCAAUCAUUUUGUAGUCCAUAAAUUUAUCGACCACAAAUUUCUUGAGACCAGCAUCUUCAGUCUUGUAUUUCUUUUCCAGAGCCUCCCACAGUAAUCUGGCAGUAACAAUAGGUUUAUAAACCUUGUACAGCACUUCAUCAAGCGAAUUCAAAACAUAAUUUCGACAAAGGAAAUCAGAAUGCUUCCAUGCUUCAAUAGCCUGGAACACUUCCUUGUCUGUUUCAGCAGUCUGACCAGGUUUGGGCUUAGGAGUAUCUUCAGUUAAAAACUUUGCCAAACCGAGAGUGGUCAGAUAGAACAACAUCUUGCUCUGCCAUGUCUUGAAAUCCACACCCUUGAAUUUCUCUGGCUUGUCUUGAGGAGUGAUGAUCUUGAUCUUAGUCAGAUCAGACACUUCAGUAGUCUUCAAAGAAGAACUGCUCGUCAUGUUUCUAUUAUUUCACACAAAAACCAACUUUUUAAUAUUGUCUUAAGUCUAUUGCUUCGGCAAGCCUCUAUUCAUCUCCUUAAUCCUUCAUACGGUGUAGUAAGUGUGUACUGUUUUGUUGAAUUCAAUUAAUAAAUAUAUUACUUGUUUUCUGUUCUAGUGUAUUUUCAUUUCUGUAAUUCGUGUAAACUGUAUUCCUGAGUUCAUAAUAUUGUCUUAAGUCUAUUGGUAUUAUGAUGUAUGAACNNNNNNNNNNNNNNNNNNNNNNNNNNNNNNNNNNNNNNNNNNNNNNNNNNNNNNNNNNNNNNNNNNNNNNNNNNNNNNNNNNNNNNNNNNNNNNNNNNNNUUGCGCUAUCGCGCGAAACUUGGUAACCCAAAGGGCUACACCCUUAGUGUUAUUAUUUUGUAUUUAUACAUCUUUACUCACUUCCCACAACUCAUGUGGGACUAAGUGUUUUACACACUUAGUUCAUUCAAUCAAUGAAAUGGUCUGACACUGUUUCUCUAACAAAAAUUACCCACAAUCCAUCAUUCAAACUAAAAUCCCACCCAAAGAAAACAUAGCAAUUCGAACUUCCACCGUCUUGAAGAGCUCUGGUAUGAAUCUAGUAAGAGAUUGGAGAAGAAUUGAAGAAGAGAAGAGCUGUUUUUGAUAUGAAUCGGUGCUGACUCAGUGCAGGUUUCUGAGUCGGCCAACACCUCUGGUUUCUGAGAAGAGCUGCUGUUGCUGAUUGCUAAUGGUGCUGAUGAUUGUUAAUUUAAUCUCCAGAGAGAUGGAAAAAAAGAAAAAAGGAAGAAAGAACUAUAAUUUCGAGUGCAACUUGCAGCUAGUGUUAACACCUCGAAUCUUUAAAAGACCAAAUUCAAUUCUUAUUUAGUUCGGCCCAAACACUAGACUAGUCCUUGGGCAGAAUUUUUAUUUGGGUAUCUCUAUUAUCAACCCUUCUUCUCAUUGUUUGUUUAAUGCAAAGACUGACAACUACUGACCACAAUGCAAUCUUUUUCAAUUUAACAAACAGUGCUGCCCCCAAAUUAUUUUAGGUGAUUAUAGUCAAUGUUACUUUGUUUGGACCUCUAGUUUUGCCAAUCAUCCAAAAUCAUCUUAUCUUAAUUAAGCAGCUGGCUCUAAUCAAUGUCAAACUUAUCCCAAAUUAGUAAGAUAAUACUAAUGUUUUGGACCACUUGCUAACUUGCCAGUAAUCAUGUUACUAUGUAGUAUGUACCAAAAUAGUCAACAAAAUCCCAGUUCUAAAUCUAUAUCAUCAAAAACAUACAGUAAUAUAUAUUGAGAAAGAUACCAUGCAAAAGAAACACUAAAAUUUCUAUUAAAUAACCUAUGCUUUCUACAUACUGAAAAAUGAAAAUAAACCCAACAACAUGGAGAACAUGUUUAUCUUCUUUUUACACUGUUCAUCAACCCCUCCACCAAAAUGCUUCUACUUCGAUCAGUACUUGAUCACAGAUCACCCACCACCACCAAACAAAGUACUACUUUACUUUCUACCAACGCCUGUGCUCACACUCAGCAGGAGUAACAGGGAACCUAGCAGUAUCAGUACAAUAAUCAUAGAUAAGAUGUUUAGCUUGGACCCACAUUAAUUGAUGGCUUUGAUGCAAAUUCAAUUCUGAUAAGACUGGUUCAUCCCACCAAUAUUUACCUUCACUAGCACUACACUUCUUGGUGUUAUCAACUGCAUUAGUACUUAUGGGACAUUCACAACCAUUGAUAUCAAAUCCUUUAUAUGAUGCAACAAAUGGUGCAUGUGACCAAUCUGUCUUCACUCUCCCACCUUGUGUAGCCCAGUCAUCCGCAUUCCAUAUUGAACUGUAAAUUCCCAUUGGUUGAUCUUUUGGAAAUGGCACCCCUUUCUUUUCUUUAUUUGUAAACACUCUAAUUGGAGUCUCAUCCACAAGAAACCUGUAACAUAAAUCACAAAUAAUAUAUAUGAUUAAAACCAUAGUAUUUAUAUAUACAGCAUAUUUGUGGCGCAUUUUAGAAUGAGAUGCUAAUGUACACCAAAGAUGUGGACUUAGUCAUAUAUGCAUGGACAUGGUGGAGACACAAGUUAAAAUAAGGAGGAAAACUACAUGUGUCAUUCACAUGCGUAGGUUAGCAUGUACCAAUAGUGACAAAUGUAGUUCAUUAAAAAAUUAUCAUACAAUCCCAAGAAAAUCUUAUGAUGCAGAGAUGAGUAUCAUUCCCAAAGCGUAUGUUAGCAUGUGAGUUAUGAUUCCCAAAAGGGAACUAAAUUGCUACAGAAGCAAGUUUAAUUAAGAGAACAAAGCGUGCAACAAGAAAUUAUAAAUAUAAAUACAACUGUUUGAUUGAGUGAAUCUAUUAGUAAUACUUACACUACUUGAUGUUGAUUCCAGAGAAUGGAGUAAGCAUGGAAAUCUUUGCUUGGAUCAAACCAAAGACUCAAUCUUUGCUCUCUAUUUCCAACACCAUUAACAUAAACAUUUGUUUGCACUAAGUAUGGUUCACCAGUAGUGUUUCCAAGAAACUCAAAAUCAAACUCAUUGUGCUUUGGACCAUCUGAUGACAUCUACAUUUACAAAACAUCAGAUCAAGUCAGAAAGACAGAAACUUGACUGAAAAUAAAAGAAAUUACAGAUUUUUUUUUUGCAAGAAAUAUAAUGGGAAUAUUGAAAAAUCUUACAUAAAAUGCUGUUACAGUUCCAGCUGAAUCUCCUUCUACAAGUUUGAUUUGAACUGUUGUUUUUCCAAACAAGUAUUUGCUCUUUGAACCAAAACCAGCACCUAUAAAACCAUAAAAUAAUUAUUUUAGUAACAAGAUGAUAUACUUUAAGUUUUGUUUAAUUACAAGCUAUGUACGUAUAUUUUACCAGAGAAGUUAUCAAGUUUGAGUUUUAGCUCUUCUCCUUCAAAGCUAACAUGAUCAAGUGCCCAGCUUGGUUCAAACAACUCAUCAAACUUAGCUGCUGAACUCAUUACACUCAUAAAACCCAAAACCCAUAACAAGAAAACUAGCUUAGAAGAAGAAGAAGAAAUCGCCAUUACUAGUACUGCUUAUAACUCAGUCUCACUCUUCUUCACUCACUCUGUGUUUUCUGUGAAGAAGAAUGACAAUUUCAUCUGUAUUUAUAUAGUAAUAAAAUUCGUCGGUGACUUGUAUAAGAAGACCCGUGAUCCACGUCAUCAUUUUUAAAUUGCCAGAUCAUUAUCCACGUAGAAUUAUUACAAAGCUCGAUGAGAAAAGAUAUUAUUAAAACUAGCCGUUAGCUUUCAGUCCGAUUCUUAGCUGGUAAAUUGCUGUUUCUCUGUACAAGUGUGGGGUAACUCUGUACGACUUGUCGUUGUUUUAAAGGUUUUUUAUCAGAGUACUAACAAAUAAGAAUCUUACACGUGGAAAAAUACAGCUGGGAUUCUUAUCUCCAAGUUGGCAAUUACCUGUAAGAAAAGAUAGAAAGUGGGGUAUGUUUGGGGUUUUCUUUUACUUUGUGAUGAUGUCACGUGCCAGUUGGAUAGGGAGCAUGCGCUUUGAAUAAUAUUUAUGGUGAGUUUUUAAUACUUUCUUGGAGAAUGGGACCACACUUUUUUUGAAUUCUUUCUUCAUUUUGUGUUGUUGGCUUGUGAUUUUGUACAUUUUGUUUCUAUUCACAAGCAACCAAUUUUUUCUGUUACGAAAUUACCCCCAACUAUGUUGAUAUGUUAGCGUGUAGGGUAGAGUAAAGCUUGGCAGCAGAAUUGGACUCUUUUGGUUUUGGUUGCUUACUAGUUUUGGACCAGAACCAGUAAAAUAUUUCUACUGUUACAGUUAAUUUUCAAAAUUCAAUGUUUGCUACUCUUUUUCAGGUUAGAACACCAGUCUAAAUUUGCUAUUCCGGUGAUUAUUACUCCAAAAACAAAGUCUCGACUCGAAAUCGGAUUAAACUUUAGGUUGUAGGUUAAAUAGAUACAGGUUGGAAUGGGAGUGGUUAGGAAUUGAUGAAAAACGUGGGGGUUUUCAAUAUCAUGCUCUUGUUAUGUGCUGCAACUUUUAGUGAGAGUAAUAUGGUAAUUGUAGAACUGAUAAGAAGGAAUAGUUUGCGUGCUUCAGAGCAUUGUUUUUGCAAAUGCAAUCAGUGUUGUGUACAGUACGGAGUUAUGAUGAUGAAUGAAGUUCAAUCAAUAUGAGUAGUCUUGGAGAUAAUAAGAAGCGUGCCCAGUGUGUGACAGAGUGACUGGGGCCACAGUAUUAUUUUCAUGGGUGCACAGAUUAGGUGUAUUCCAAAUGUACCCAAAUAUGCUGCCACGUAUAAAUAUUGUGGUGUUAGCUUUUAGUAGAUUUGUAGUUGUAUUCAAGAUUAAUGAAUUAUUUUUGAUUUGAUAUUGUUUCAAAAGAAAUGUGUUCCGAAGAUAUGAUUUAUAUGAAAUUUUGGCAUUUUUCCCUAUUUGUAUUUGAUUGAAAUGUUUAGGUAGCAUGUCACAAUAUUCUCUUCAAUUCAUUGUCUUCAUUUGGAUUAAAGUUUUAUCAUAACCAUAAUAUGUUUUUUAUUUUGUUUUUUUGCACAUAUACGUAAAUGUACGGCUUCUCAAUAAUUUUUCUUGGCUCUAAAUCUAAAAUAUAUAUAUGCAAAAUUUUCUAGGAGAGCAUUGUACCUAGCUUGAUCGAUCAAUUAACAUUAUGUCAGAUUGCACUUGACUUAUAUACGUACUCCUUAAAUGCUUUAUUGUAUUUACAAGUACGUCAAUUGAUGUUGCACAACCAUGGUGGUGGGUAGUGGGUACGGAAAAAUUAUUUAAAUUUUUAAACAUCAUGCAUGAUGAUGCCUUUUCUCUUUCAACUAUUGAGGGUGUGAUCACAAGUUUUACCAAAUUAUCUCAUGGAGAGUAACAAUUUAAGGAAGGAAAUCGGUCGGAUUCGGGUUGAUAAGGGGUAAUCCUCCAAAUCUAUAUUUAAUUCAGGUGUGAUUUCAAAAUUAUACCCUCCAAAAUUUGUAUUCGAAAUCGGGUAUUCAAAUUUUAUUCGAGUUUUAACCAUUUCUAUGAUGUUUUUCUUCUAAAAAAAUAAUAUAAAUAUAUUAUUUUAAGACAUAAAUUUGAGUUACUCGAAUUAUCGAGUUUUAUCCAUUUUAUAAUUCGGGUACAUAUUAAAAACCAAACCCACCAAAUUUGGAUUCGGUAGUCUCAGUUCACUGCAACAGAUUUAAUUAUCAGCGACAGACAGUAUUAACCACACAUAUAAUUGUCGUUGUUGCUAACCUUUUGUGAUGCAUUUAAUAGUGGAUAAAAGUUUUGGAUGUAUUAAAUAAUGAUUUAUUUUUUCGGUAUUUGCAACGUUGUUGACAGUUGCAAAAGGUAGUUUAUUUAAUUUAAUAACUAAAAAUAAGAAAUAACGACAGUGAAAACCGUCGAUGAAAACUAAAUUGCAAGUAAUUUAUCAAAUGGCGAUGCAAGUAAAUGUUGGUUAUAUGGGGGCAAUCGCUAAUAUUAAAAAAAAAUUAUCAAAUAACUUUUGCGAUCCAAAUAAAUGUUGCUGAUAAUUAUUUAUAGCAACCCUGAAUAGCAUUUCUAAAGAAUUAGUUUAUUGCAACGCGUUAAGAUUUGCUAAAGCAUGAAACCUUUGGCGACACUAUGUAUGUCACAAAUUAUAAUUAUUAGCUACGGUCUAUUCGUUGGAAAUGCGUGUCAAACGGUCAAUUAGCCAUGUUUGAAUAUUUUUAUAACACUAAACCAUUAGUGGUGGUUAUAACUGUUGUUAAAGAAAUAAUUCUAGAAUCAUAAAUAACUUUUGACCAAAUUGAUCUUUUAAUAAAUCUAAACUCAAAUCAAGUGACCAUUCGAUUUUAUCCAAAUCAAAGGUUUUCCGUAACAAAUUUUACUAUUCAAUUUUUAUGAAAUGAAUUUUAUGUUUUUUUGAUGAAUAAUAUUUAACUAUUUACCUAUGAAAUUAUUUAAUUCAACCAAUUGAGAUUUAUUUUGACCCAAUUUUAUUUGGUCAUUAUCAUUCUUCAUAUUGAUUGUUCCUAUUCCUAAUGCCACAAUACGUACAGUUUAUCAAAGUCCCAUUUAUUUCACAAAACAGUCUGAUUAACAAAGUCUAAUAUUUUACUUAGGGAGUUAAUUUAAAUGGACUUGGCAGUUAAUUUAAAUGAACUCAAAUCAAGUGACCAUUCGACAGACAGUAUUAACCAGUAGUGAUGCUUGAUUCUCUCAUCGAUAUAUAUAUCCUGCAGGUCGUGUAAAUUUGUGGUAUUCCCACUGCUCGGUGGGCAGCGGCUUAGCCUUGAACCUCCUGUUCUUUUCUAACCGAGGUCCUUUGGUGGAGCCUCCUUCUAAGUUUGCGAUAACAUGCUUUUAAUCCUUCCGACCAAAGCUUCCUCUAGUUUGAUAUAACGAUCUACCUUGAGAUAGAGCUCGUCGAGAGAAGUUGGCCUUUUCAUGGCCAAUGAUUUGUGGAGGUCAGAUCCAGGGAUCAGACCGUGGAAGAAUGCAAUGGUCGAAAAGGUCGAAAAUGCCUUUUCAUGGCCAAUGAAUAGAAUGCAGUUCAGUUUUUAAUCGAACGAAGAAAUCACUUGGCAAUUCUUUGUCUCUCUGGUUUACCUUGAACAUUGCGACGAUGGUGACUGAACGCUUUUUGUUAUGGAUGUAAAAAAUAACGAACUGCUUCUCCAAUUCGUUGAAUGAGCUGAUUGACCCUGGCUUGAGACGAUUGAAUCAGUCGAGCACUGGUCUAGUGAGACUGGAUUGGAACAAUAGACAUAGCACGUGGUUUUCUUUUAUCAGUGGAAGCGAUUUGCGGAAGCUUUUGAUGUGAUCUGUUGGAUCUCCAACGCCUGAGUACUGAUCGAAUUUUGGUGCAUAUAUUGAGUUUGCUUGGUAGUUUUUGCUCUAGGAUCUCCUUUGUGAACGAAUACUAGUCCUGAAAAUGCUACAAAGAUUGGACUGCUAGCUGUUCUGUUGUACGACCUCUGUCCAGUUGAAUUGCGACCUGGGAUGCUUUGAAUUCAGCGAGCUGUUGGUUGAGUUCUUUAUACUUGCGGUUGUUGUCGGUGGCAGUGGCUCCUCCCUGUCGUUAGUUGUGUCGACAUUACUUGCAGUCUUUAGUUGCGUGUUCUCUUCUUGUAGACGAGUGAUUUGAUCCCUUAGUUCUUGGAUAAUAUCAUCUUGGUUAGUCAUUUGCGAAUUGGAUAGUUGUUUGUGAUUUUGAGUUGGGUGGGAGGGUUGGUUUUUCGAUAUAAUCGAAUCCUUCCAGUCGGCGCCAAUUGUAUUAAGCUGUUUCCAGAUUAAUGUCUAGGUCAGGUCAUUGUUUGCCUGACCAAGAUGGGAGAUUGAGAUCGGGGGUGGCUGCACCUCGAUGUGAUCGAGAUUGCCUACGUACUCUAGCUCGGGGGAGAGGAACUUAGAUAUCAAGCCAUCGUUGUUUUAUUCUUAUAGAAGGUGGAGGGGCGCAGAUCAUGGGAUCAUGCGGAUUCUCCGACAUCUAUUGAUAGUGUAAUAUUUGACAUUAAAUGUGUAAUGGACCAAGAUAUUUUCUAAACAUUGAUUAAGGGCACGUGUCUAUAAUAAGGUCGCCAACGGUAAUAUGGUCGAGCUGCAUUGAUCGGGCUGGACGAGAUCGUUUCCUGGUCGACCUGGUGAAUUAUUGGGUCAUACCACGUGUCGUGUUUUGAGUGGAUGUUGUAUGUAGUACCCUACAGUGCACAAGAAAACUAUUGGCCAUGCCAGUCAUUGUAGCAAAACCACUCCCAUCAAUAAUGCUCAUGUGUGUGUGGCAAAAUCACACCCAUCAGCAAUGCUCAUAUAUGUGGCAGAAAGUUUUGGCAAAGAAAAGAGCAUGCGCAACGCUCAAAUGCGUUGGUAAAAGAAAAGCAUGGCAACGCCCAAAUGUAUGGGCAAAGGAAAAAGCAUGGGCAAUGACUGGACGUCCGUCGUUAAAAAAAAAGUAUUUGCCACACUAGAUUGGAGUGCCGCAAAUAGACAUAUUUGCAACGGUGUUAACCGUUGCUAAUUUUUUUUUUAAUUUAAAUAAUCAAAAAUAAAAUUUAUUUUAUGGAAAAUUGUUUUACGAUGAUAGAUAAGUUUCAACAACAAUUAAGAGUGUUGGUAAUUGGUUGCCAUUUUAAGCAACAACUAGUAGCGUCGCCACUCGCCAAUACCUAUCAACUCUCACUUGUGAAGGAGCAUUUGCAAUAGUCGUCCAAUUAAUCUUUGGCCACGCUGUUUUGCAUAGCAAAAACCCUAUUUUGUUGUAGUGUUUUUCGGGUAUGUUCGGAUAAUCCGAAUCUGAUUUCCUGCUCUAAGUAGGUAACAUAGUAAAUAAACAUCACAAAUGAUAUAGGACUGUAGGAGUUUGGAAUAAAUUGGUAAUCGGGGGAUAAGUAAGACACUUUUCAAGUUUCAAUUAACAUAUUGCAUGAAAAAUACAAAAAAAGAACCCCACGUGAAGAAGCUUUUGCUCGAUCAGAAGGACUUUCACAAUAUAUAGUUGUUGAUACUUGAUCCUCACUCUUCUGUUCUUCCUCACGAGGUCCUGAAAACAGUGAAGAUCAAUAAUAAUUUUUGUGUUUGAUUCGAGAUUGUCUUUUGAGGGGAUGUAGGCAUAUCUUAUUGUGUAUAUGUCUAGAUCAGAGUGCUAAGCUGUCAUUCUUCUAGCUUUGUGUAUAUAAAAUCCAUCAUUCCAUGAAUAAAAAAAAAGGCAAAGCUAGCUCAUCUGCUCAUGCAUGCAUGAACAUGAAACGCACUGUGAUUUUGGAUUCCAUUUCAUUAGGUAAGGUGAUGACCUUUUUACACUUGUAAAUUGUACUUAUGUGUAUGGCAUAAUUCAUGAGUGGAGAAUAGAAAGACAUAUAGUAGGAAAACAAGUUGGUUUGAUUUGAUGUCAUCGAUUGGAUCUAACAUUUUAAUAAGGUUUUGCACGUAGCACAAGUUUUGCUUGAUUGGGAAUUUGGGAUCACAGGUUUUAUAGUAUUGCCAUGUUUCCUUCCAUUCUAACUCGACUAUUUUUUUUAAUCCAAGUAACUUUGUCUAACAUGGUCUUGUGCAUGCUUAGCAACUUUGUGUAGCAAAAACGAUUUCCAACAGCCAAUUUGGACAUAUGGCUUUGGAAAAAGUGCAAUCUUGGAUUGAAUCCCCAUCUAGGAUAUCCAGCCCAGUAAUUUGGAAAUGCUUUCCAAGGCGGCAAGGCCUGUUGUUAUUUGUUAUGGGCUAAUGGCUGUGUUUCAUGAUUUUUUGGUGAGUUGGUGGCAGAUCUACUGAUCUAGUACCUCAAACAUAUUUUGGGCAUAGUUUAUGAGUAAAAAUGGCAUAUUGGCCUGACGAAUCUAAACAUAUUUAGUGUGAAACCUACCACUUCAUGCUGUGGUUUCACUUUCACAUAUAAAUAAAUAACAGCUUGUAUUACCAUUGACAUAGCUAAAUAUAUCGUAGAAUGUGUGUCUCUUUAAAUCUGUGAUUGAAAAUUAAAUAUAUUCAGAAUGCAAAUAGGAUUUUGGAGGAAAUUGGAAGAGACCUUUCUUUUUUUUUUGAUAAAAUGUAGAAGUAUAUUCAUACUCAAUCAACUUACACUCCUGAACAGCGUACACAAGGUACCGUCAGGUUGUAACUACCCAUAGAGACAAACCUCUAUUUACAUAAUUCCAAGUCCCAAAUUCAAACCCUUACCCCUUACAGCAGUAAAUAAUAGUGCAACAACAGAGCAUAGUGCAUAAUGUACCUUGAUUCGCGAGACCAAGCCCCGAGCUUCUGUUGCGCAGACCCCCUUCAAGCAGGAACCUUCUUCAUCUGCUGCUUGCUGCCUGUGCCUGAGAGCCCUCCAGUUCCCAGUAUCACAGGAGGACAGACCCUCGCAAUUCUACCUAACACCUAGACUUUCAGAAAACUGCACAACUCUAUACAGUAACAGGACCCUGUCUGAAGUCCUGCACACCAUCGCAACAGGAGGAAGGUGCAAACCACUAACCGGACAUCCUGAGCCAAACCAGCUACCAUAAUUCAUGAAUAAAUCUGGUCCAAUCACUCAGCAGAUAUCUGAAGCAUGAUUCAUCCCUUAACCCCCACUAACCUGAUCACACAACAACCAUGCCCACACAGUGGCUUUGAUUGCAAUCACCAUCUUAGGAAUCGUGAAGGGUGUGCCCUGAAAAAUCAAGUUGUUUCGAGCUCGCCAUAAACACCACAUGACUGCAUAUGGCAAGAUAUUCCAUACCUUAGCCUGAACACCAUGCCUAUUAAGGGGAGGCCACCAAGUUAGCAGCUGUUGUGGGGUUUCCAAGGAUUGAAGCUCAGCAACAGCACGCACAGAAACAUAGGUCAAGAUGUGCCAAAUUUCCUUGGUCGCACUACAAUAAAUGAAAAGAUGAUUGGUGGAUUCGGAAUCUCUCUUGCAGAGCUCACACCUGUUUGUUAAAACGAUACCCCUUCUUUGUAACUUAUCAAUCGUCAAGGUCUUGUCCCACAUUAAGCCCCAAAAAAAGAACUUGACAUUCAAUCUUUAGUUAAGUUUGAAGAUGAUCAUGGCUUUCUUGUAAUCAUCAUUACAAACAUAAAGCAUGGUUGUUUUCUCUACAAUAACCUGGGCAGAAUAUAUGGUAAUGACAAUUGUAGGGUUAUCCAACCAGAAUAUUUGGAAAUGACAAUGGCAACAAUUAAAGGAUAAGUGGAUAACCACCAAAACUUAUGUCAAACAAUAAAUUUGAUGUGAACAAUUCAUUUUUUUAUUUUUAUUUUUUGAUAAUGAUCUUACUCAAAACUCAAAUGGCUGAAACCUUGAUGCAGGCUUUGCAACCUGUUCAGCAGCGAUAUUCACCUCCCUCCAAGUGUUGGACAGGUGUAUAUGAACACCUCUGUCAAGAUAGGCAUGCCAUAUUUGCCAUCUCCCCUGUAACUGCCAUGGGAUCACCCUAGUUUUAAAUGCAGUCACUGCUGCUGCAGCAUUGACUCCACCCAAACAUAUUGCCUUUGGCAGCCAUCUUCAAGCUUUAAACAAUUCCUACGCAUUCUGCCCAAUAGUUGGAUUAUUCCCAAGUUUUUCCCUUUAUCUUUAGCACCUGAGCUAUUAAUUCAUGUUGGAAGUAUGGGUAUAGUAGAUUUUAGGUGUGUACUUUAGUCUCACAUAGCUUAAAUAUAAAGUCUAUGUGGUUUCUCUCUAUAUAUAGAGACUUAGCUUCUUUGUAAGUUAAACCUAAUUAUUAUCAAUAUAAUUCAUCUUUUAUAUUUCUAGUUGGUAUCAAAGCCAAGGUAGGUCUUGGUUUCGGCUGCCGGCGACGUGCCGGUGGCCGGAAUUUCGUCAAAGGUCAGAUUUUUUUUCGCUUCCGCCGUCUUUUUUUGUGCCGUGUGUUUUUUCGUGAUACUGUUCACCGGAGUACUGUUCACAGAUCACUGUUCAUAGGUACUGUUCACAUGGAGUACUGUUCAUCAGAUCAAUAUUCAUCGAGCUUUUUUUUUUGUAAGGUUCAGGUUUGCUGUUUUUUUUUAUUGGUGCGCCACUUUUGUCCAACCCCUUUCUAGGGUUUUGUCUGCGUUGUUGAUGUCAUGCGCGGCUUGUUCAGCCCUUUCUAUGGCCUUGUAUGCGUUGUUGCCGUAGUGCGCCGCACUUGUCCAGUCCUUUCUAGGGCUUUGACUGCGUUAUUGAUGUCAUGCACCAUUCUUUCUAGCCCUCUCAAGGGCCUCUUCUGCGCCGCCAUCCAUCUACAGUUUUACUGUUCAUGUCCAACCCAUUCAACGGCUUUAUUACUCCACAAUCAGCCUUCUUUCGUCUUGGAGUACCUCAUCUUUAUUGGUUUUGAAAUUAUAUCAAAUGCUUUAUGGAAAGUAAACCCUAGCCACCGAAACGAAUAUGACCUUAGUAAUCACCACCACAACCUCCGACGUUUUUUUUUUUGGCUGAGUAGCUGGUAAUCCCUGCUCCUUUAUUGUCUCUGCAGCUGGACGUCUCUGCAGCUGGACAUCUCUACAGACGGUUCUUCUCGCAACUGGUCAUCCCUGCCAUUGAACAUCCUGUCGGGUGUCGUCCUUAUGAUACUUUGUGGGGGAUGUGAGAGAACUUGUUUGUAUUUCAAGAUGAAAUUCAGAGUAUGAAUGUUCAGUUUGAGGGGGAGUGUUGGAAGUAAGGGUAUAAUAGACUUUAAGUGUGUAGUUUAGUCCCACAUAGCUUAGAUAUAAAGUCUAUGUGGUUUCUCUCUCUCUAUAGAGAGAGAGUUAGCUUGUUUGUAAGUUAAACCUAAUUAUUAUCAAUAUAAUUCAUCUUUUAUAUUUUUAGUAUUCUUUGCUACAAUGCCAGAACCAAAUGUCCUAAAUUUCCCCUCGCAGCCCCAUCUACAUUCAACUUUAUCUGCCGGCCUGCUGCCGGAGGUAGCCAAAUGCAUACUCUCUCUUUAAAUAUAUGCCCUGGUCGUGCCCUGAUGCCCUACUCCGCCCAAGUCACUAAGAAGAGCCUUAUCUUCAGUGUAGGUCUUCCCAUUACAAAGUCUGCUAGUGUGCUCCAUGCUAGUACAUUAUAAUAAACUUGUGCAACAAUUUAUUCCACAACAUGAAGACAAGAAUUAUUAUAUAUAAUAGCGUAAGUUCCCUUAGAGAUAGGGUUGAUUAAUGAUUUGGGUACUGGUGAUUAUUGUUGGAUAUCAAAUAGUUUCGGAAAAUUAAAGUUCAGUCAUUUUCUAAAUACUGGAAGUUUAGGCUUAGUACAACUGGACUUGGGUGACCAUGUAGCUUUAGAUUGAUCCCUGAUAUGAUUUACAUGUCUAUGAUCAACUAUGCAAAAAUCUGCCACUGCACUCUGAAGGUCUUACUAUAAAAUUUGGAUGCGCAAAAUGCUAAACAGAAUAUGUCAAUUGUCAAUCCCUGAUUGACAUGAAUAGAAAAUAAUCAGAACACUGCUUAUUUUCCUUGGUAACGGUCCUCACGGUCAAUGAAGCCUCUCAUCAGCUUUUUCAAGAAUAGCUUAAUUUGCUUGGCUGCUACCAUUUCACCAUUAGUUACCUGAACAACCAUAGACCAGUUAAGGGUGCCAACAUCAACAACAACAACUGUCUUUAAUUGGUUAAGACAUCGUCACUACUAUAUUCAAGAUUUAAAAACUAUAUAUGGUAGAACGAUGAUCUGAUGAAUAUGAAUCCUAAUUUUGAUUAUAUCCUUUACCUUCAAACCGAACAAGAUCAGAGUCGAACCUUCUGAAGUAGUAAAGUUCAUGUCAGUGACUUCAAAACCCUGAUCACUAACAGUUUCCAUCAAUCUUGUGAAUACCCCUGGCUUGUUUUCACAUAUUAUCUCCACCCAGAGCUUAUUCUCAUUGAUUUGAGUCACCUUAACUUCAUCCUGUAAUCCAAAUCAUAAAACACACAUUAAAAAUCUAUGGAAGCACUAAUGAGUAAAAAUAAUGUAUAUAAUUGUUAAAACACACAGUCUUUAUUCUACUUUUAUCUUGAGUUUCUCAAUCCCAUGUGUAAUAUUGUCCCUCUGCUCUUGUUUAACUUCUUUCUCAAAUGCUGCUUCUAUCUCAGCAAGCUGAUCAGCAAGAGCAUUCUCAUGUUUCUGAAGCUCCUUAAUGUAUGUAAUCGCGUCAUCUAUAGCUGUCUCCUUCUUCAGCUAAACAAGUCAAAAGCAUGAAAACAAUUUUAAUCAAAACAUGUAUAUAUAAUAAUUGUUAGGAGGAAAACAAUAUUAAGUAUUCAAUGAAAAAAAUUCAGAUAUUGCACACAUACAUUUGUUAUAUUUGGGACUAACGCACGCAGAGCCAUUAGUCCCUCAUGGUUUUUUAACCUUCUUUUUCUCUCAGUGAGAAGGUUUUUGGAUUUAAACUCUUCAUUUUUCUUCUCCUCCUUAUGCUCCCCUUCACUACAGUAACAACAAGAAUAAUCCAUUGAAAAGAGAAUGGAGGGGAAGUAGGGAACUCUUACAGUAUUUAUACUUGCAUAUAUGUAAUAAUGCAAUAGGGGUAGAGUAGGUAGAUGUUGUUAACUUGCUAGAAGCAAUUUGUUAGGAUAUGAGAGAGAGAGAGAGAUUGUAAGGUCAAUAGUACAAUAUCAAAAUGAUCACACCACUUCUUCUUGGCAUCUUGAUGAUAACUGAAUAACCGAAUGAAUGAAUGUUUAGCAUCUACUCCUUCAUGAUUUGGUUUAAUUAAUAGAAACUUCAAUUACAAUUUUCUGAUUUGACUGUGUCAACAAUGUUGACCAGCUAACUACCAUGUUAGUCAUGCUUUGUAGAACUUUUAUCAAACAGAUUCUGAUCAUCCCAAGCAGACUUGCUGCAACUUGAAGAAUUUCUUAUUAUAUUCCUCUAUUUUGAUCAUUUUUGCUGAUUACAAUGGCUGAUGUUUUGAUUGAAAUUGAAGUCAUGCAAAAAGCUUACCAAUACACUUACUAUUAUCCAAGGUGUGGCUGAGGAUUGACAUAUAUGAAUCGAUGGGGAAAUGUCGUGCAUCUUGGUGGAUUAAUACAUGGAUUGACAACUGGUUAAAACUUCUCAACAAUCUCCACAUACAUUACGAAUAAGGUUUUCCUUCUUUUUAGUGCAGCCUUGGCAACGUCAUUUGCAUGAUUGCAUCUGCCACUUUUCCAAUCUCAAAGGCACUGCAAGUCUGCCUGUUUUCUCGCUCUGACGAAUCUAGAAUAUCUGAUUCUAUCUGGCCCUUCCGCUGCUCGAGACUCUCACAUUGAUAUGGAAUGCAGGUGUUCUUACUGGCCAUUGCCCCAUAAUAACAGAAAGAACUGAACUUUACUUGAUGGGAAAUUCUUUGACCUGAUCCCAGAAAAUUUGAAACAUCUCACCAUGCUUGAACAACUGGUCUAUCGUCAUGAGAGUGUUGCGUCACAAAUUUACAAGAUCAUCAUUCUCAGAGAAACUACUAGUAUAGUAAGGUGCAUUUAUUUUUCAAACGUCUUUGCUUCUCUUUUAUCUCUUUGGUUGUACCAUCUGAUUCUGAUCAUGUUAGUCUUCUUAUUAAACAGGAUGAGCUCAAACUCUCAAAGCAUUUACACAAUUUAGCAUUGCCCUCCUAAUGAUCAAUUACCGUAUUUCUAAGUACAGUCCUCCAUACGGUAUGAACAUAUUUCUGAUCAUGUUAGUCUGCGAAAAUGACACUUUGGCAGCUAAUAAAUGUAAAAUUGAUACUGGAAGAAGCCAUACUGUCAGAUUAUAAAGCCAUGCUGUUGUAUGUGUUAUUUGGAUGGAGAGGAACUUCAGAUCGAUUCUGCAAGCCAUCUAGUUUUAAAGAAGCAGUGAAAACGAGAUGUUUGGAUGAAACCAAAGAAUUCUCACAAGGAGGGAGUAAGAAGUACCUGAGAAGCCGGGACUUUAUUGCUAAUAUUGGCAAUGCACCACUGUAAGUGUCAAGAAAAACCAGGUCACCUAUUUCAAGCGGAAAGCUUACUCUAAGGCUCUCUAAAUUUGCAGUCAGAUGGCAUUUGUGAACAGUGUAAAGGCCUGGUUAUGGAAGUGUCUUGAUCGCACUGUUGCCUUUGUAUUGCAGGACUGACAAGUGCAUAUAGUUCAUCCAUGAGAAAGGACCUUUAAGACAUUAACUUUUCUUCUAUAAAGAGACUGAGUGGUUAAAAACUUAAAAUACACAACCCUUCUACAUUAACAACAAACCUAUAAUUGCCUAACAAAAUUAUGUUACAUCAAUUUAGGAAUCAGAACUUGAACCACAUAAAUUGACAGAGAGCAAUCUUGUCAGUUAAGCCGAUGGAAACUGAAGUACUUUCCCGACUGGAAAUCAUCAGCGUGUAAGGUAAUCAAUGUCACAUUAGGAAGUACACCGCACGGUAAAAUAUCAGUAAGGUUUUUGUGAUUGAGCUAAAAUAUUUUGAAUUUGAAAGAGUUUUUUCAACUGUGGAAGAGGAGGACAUACAGGUAUUAUAUAUCUAGUUAUUUGGUAGGUAUGAGGUCAAGUAGAAACAUUCAAUUUAAAAUUCCUGAGAUUGACAGAUGUAUCUGUAAAGGUGGUUGCAAAGAAAACUGCAACCCUAAACUCUUGAAUAAAGGAAGCAAUUUUAGCACAAGUCAUUUGCUAUUAACCAUAAAAGUAAGAAGUCGAUCUUUAGCAUUAUAGAUUGUGAUGAAUGCUAUUAAGAUAAAGCUCAUAGUUCUUACCUAAUCAAAUAUAAUAAGUACUACUUGAGAAACAAGGAAAAAUUAAGUCUAACUGUAACAUAUAUCUUCAACUGCAUUGCCGGUUUUCGGUCGUGGAUCCCAUCACCUGAAGCAAAUAAUGUUGCAGCUGAUUGAUUGCAAUCAUUCCAGCAUUCGUCACCUAUAGUUCAAAAAUUAAAAAACGUUACAUUGAAAUUUGUCGACAAAAAUGUUGAACAGAGAAAGAUUAGUGAAGAGUUAUAAUGUGGAGUACAAUACUGCUACUGGCCACAAUAUCCUAGAGAAUGGUACUAUUGUUGGAUGUAAACUGAGACAUGAUCAAUUCACAACUUGUUAUAGUUUUCCAAAUUUUUUUCACUAAAGUUUUGCAAUGUUCUUUAGCUUACCUCUACACAGAACAUGAUCAGAGUUACGCCUUUGGAUGUGGUAACGUUAAUGUCAGUGAUUUCAAAACCAAGACUAUUCAUAAUCUCCAUCAGUUUGGUGAACCCUCCUCGCUUGCUAUCACAAACUAUCUUAAACCAUAGCCUACGCUCGUCAAGGCAAGUCACUUUUACUUCAGCCUAUAACAGGGCGAAAUUAAUAAUGAAGAUAGAUUUUGUUCAUGCAACAGUUCUAUAUUGACUAGGAAAACUAAUAAACAAGACUUUGUUACCUCUAUUUGCAAUUUCUCAAUCUGUUCCUCUUGCACUCUGCCGCCUACACUUCCUUGUUUCUCUGUCUCCUGAGUUUCCAUCUCCAUUAACUGAUCACCAAGACCCUUCACAUGCUUCUGUAGUCCAGUAAUGUAGGUGAUGGCAUCGUCAAUGAUUGUCGCCUUGUUCAUCUAAAAGACAACAACAAACCAAAGUUAUAAUCACAUAGUUAAGUGGCUGCAACGACAACACAGUAAAUUGAAGAGAGAAGCUAUAUCGAGGUAAAGGUAUUUAAUUAUUUAGAGGUUAAGAUGAUUGCAUUUGUAAUAUUUGGGACUAAUGCGCGAAGAUUGAUUAGUCUUUCAUUGAGUUUAUGCCUCCUCCUUCGUUCAGCUUCAAGGUUCUUCGACUUAAAUUGUGUAUCAUCAUUUAUAUUCUUCCCUCGACCUCGUCUCCCUUGCUCUGCCAAUUCAUUUUGAACAUAAAACUCUUCCAUAAGGGAGUUCGUGUACUCCAUUAGUACAAGAUGACAGAAUUUCAGUAGAUGAGACAGAGGAAAAGCUCUAAAAAGUUGGAAAGAUUGAUUGUAAGAGACAGAAAACAAUAUAUAAAAAGGCGAGUUUGUUAGACUGGUUGUACUUUAUUCCUUAAUAUCACAGUUUCUUAGCAGGGAGAGCCUUCUUUUAAGCAUGGGUUAGGCCUGUUUGAAUUUCAGUUGUUGUUUAAGCUUCUAAUUUACCGUAAUAUUAGAAAUUAUAUAUCCUAUUGUGCAAUGUAACACACAAAUGCUGCUCGCAACAAUCAGAUCUUCAUCACAUUAUUUCCAUACUGUUGGGACACAAUGCUUUUGAUCAAAUUAUCAAGUCUGAUUAGCAUUGAGCAUGAAUUGGUUAAUUUGUUAUGUAUCUCUUUCUUGCAUGCUUUCAGUUAAUUUUGUUGGCUUCAAGGACAAUAUUGUGUGAAUGGCAGUAGGGUGUUAGAUUUAGACCAAUAUAUUCUCUUUUAAUCCAGUACAAUCAUGUUUUCGUACACCCAAAAUAUUUUUCAUGUUGUUUAAAAAUACUGUCUUCAUCACAAAAAUGUGAUAAAAUCCUGUUUUUCCUCUUUUUUUUUUUGAUAAAAAUCCUGUUAUCACUGGAGAAUUGCCAAUAAGCAAUCCUCUUUCGAAAUUUCCAUUCUUAGUUCUUACCACCUGAAACUUUCGUAAUGUUAGCUUGCACAAAAUCCUGUUAUAAUUUUAGGUUUUCUACGUAAGUUCACAGAUUGAAUCGCGGAAUGCAUGUUAAAUCCUAUCAUUUGAGUUUCUAGUAAAACUCUUCUGUUGCUAUCAACAUAUUGUAGUAUUUGCUUUUGGUAAACAGCAUAUUUUACUGUAGUAUGUUACACUAGCAUUGUGCAUUAGUAUUUUGCACUGCAUGAUAAGGCAUUAUAUCAUCCUACCAUAUACAUGUACAAUAACAAUACAAUGCUAUAAAACAAGCCAAUUGUUGCAGUGGUGCAAUGGUGGUAGCGUCAGCGUCGCGUUUGUGGUGGUAGGCUGGUAGCAGCUCCCCCCAUCUUGUAUAUAGCCACCUGCCACCUGCCAACACAAGUGACUUUCUGAGUUCUGACAUUCGACAAAAACACCACUUACUGGAUUAAAAUCCACAAGCCCAUCAGACUAUAUCUCUUAUUGGGCUUUGGGUACCUGUUUCAGAAAAAACCCAAUUAAUCCAAAUUACUUCAUUCAUUUCUUCAAAAACCCUAAACCCUAACUUCACUCAACUUCAUUUCUUCACUCUCAAUUUCUCGCUUUCUUCCCCAAAAAUUUCACCAAAAUGUCGUCAAUUUCUCGUCUUCUCUACCGCAGUUUCUGCACUUCUCUCUCUUCAACAGUAGCAACAACCCCAAAAGCUCCAACUAUCGAUUCCAUAGUUGACAGUAUCUUCAAAGAAAGAAAUCUCACUAAACUUGUUGAAAAGUUCAAACAAUCUUCUGAAAUCUAUCGAUUUCGAUCUAAGCAUAAGAUUUACCAAAUUGCAACACGUCGUCUUGCGUCGGCGAAGCAGUUCGAUUCAAUUGAAGAGAUUCUUGAACAACAGAAGAAGUAUCAUGACAUUACUAAAGAAGGGUUUGCAAUUCGACUUAUUAAGCUUUAUGGAAAUGCUGGUAUGUUUGAUCAUGCUUCUAAAACAUUUGAUGAAUUGCCUGAAUUAAAAUGUGAAAGAACUGUUAAAUCUUUUAAUGCUCUUCUUAGUGCUUGUGUUGAUUCUAAGAAGUAUGAUAAGGUUGAGAAGCUUUUUAGGAAUAUACCAUUGAAAUUGUCGAUUACUCCUGAUGAGUAUUCGUAUACGAUUACUAUUCAAGCUUUAUGUUUGUUAGAGGAGUUGGAUUCUGCUGUUUCUUUGUUGGAUGAGAUGGAGACGAAAGGGUUGAAACCGAAUUUAGUUACUUUUAAUACCCUUUUGAAUAUGUUUUAUGAAGCUGGUCGUAUUUUGGAAGCUGAGAGGAUUUGGGCUAGGAUGGAAAAGAAGGAGAUUGUUCCAGAUAUUCGAAGUUAUAAUGCUAAGUUGAAGGGAUUAGUUGUAAAAGGGAAGAUCUCAGAAGCUGAGAAGUUACUUGGGGAACUUAGGACAAAGGAACCCAAAGCUGAUACGUUUAGUUUCAAUGUUUUAAUUAAGUCGUACUGCAAUGACGGGAAAUAUGAUGAUGCAAAGAGGGUGUAUGAUGAGUUAUUGGCUGAUGGUCAUAAAGAGAAUCGAUGGACUUAUGAGGCACUUAUUCCAGUUCUGUGUGAGAAAGGGGAUUUCGAUUUUGCUCUCAAGUUGUGUAAGAAGAGUUUGGGCUUAAAUUGCUAUUUAAGUGCUGGCAUAUUGCAGGUUGUGGUUGAUGGGCUGGUGAAGCAGUCGAAGGUGAAUGAUGCGAACGAGCUUGUGGAGCUUGCAAGAUCAAAAAGUUAUGGUCGGAAAAGUUUGAAGCUUCCUUCUGAAGAUGAGUGAAAUAAUAUCAACGGUUUAUCUUUCUUUUUUUAACUUGUAAGCUUAAUGCAUUUUCAUCAGUUAAAGGUUUUUAUGUUGCUGCUGAUGAUAUGAAUGGGGUUGAUUGUUUACCUUAGCUUUCAUUUUAUGAAAUAUUUUCAUGUGAUACUUCUUUCCUCUCUGCUUAGGAGAUCUGAAAUCAGAAUAAUAUUUUGUUGUCUUGUUGAUUAUGUGGAAAGAAGUUGAUCUUUUAUCUGCUGUUAAUGCCACAUGAAAUUAUCUAUAUUCAGUUCAUUAUUUGGUAGAUAGAUGUGUUAUGAGUGAACACUGAAAAUGUAUUCUUAGAUGCUCGAUAUAUGUUUAUACCUAUAUGCUUGAUAUACACCAGAUUUGGGAUCUGCAUAUGUAAGCUGAUAUGAGUGUUUUGGACUUUGUCUCGUAUGCCCUGGUGUCAUUAUGAACUUGUCACCCUAAGCUAUAAUAUAUAGAGAGAAUCCAGCUGAACUCUUCAUCCAAUAUAAUUUCUAUAUCAUACGGUCGUACCCAAUAAAGCUACAUCUGAUAAUACUUAAAACUAGUAAACGGACUGAACAGGAGCAACCUUCAUUGUUGUGCUAAGUAACAAUGUAUGGCUCAAAGGUUACACUUCAUCUUUUUUUACAAUACCACUGAUCAUGACAUGUGCUUCUUCGUAGAGCUUGAAACCUAUUUAUAACCUUGGAGCCUGAAGCCCAGAAGGCUUGGAGUGAUAUUCCUUUGAUUCAGAAUGAUCAAUAUGUUAUACCGUUUUCAUCGUUCACUUCCAUGUCUGGUUUGUUAGUGGUGGAUUCAACUCCCUGUGGAAGAGCACAUUGACAGAGAUGCAUAGGAUUCUAUUCUUGAUGAAUUGCAACUAGAGCUCUUUAAGUCUCAAUUAUUUUCAGAUAUAUUAUGACAGAAUCCUACUGCAGUAGGUAAAUUAUGAGUUUAUUGUAAUUGCUUCUGAUCCUCAUUGGGUUAUAUCGUUUGCAUUAUUUCACUGGAAGUAGUCAUUUAUUCAUUUUACAAAAUAAGAAUUGAUUGUGACGCUAGACUAUGGACCAUGAUGCUGAGAAUUUUCAAGGUUUCAUUUUCAAGUUCGUUAAACUAUGUUGCAGUGUUUUUCUUCAUUCAACUGAACACGAUCUUAACUUCUUAAGUAAAAUGUUUUUGUUUGAUAUCACAUUCACUAUCUGUCGGUAUGGUUUUCUUUAUAUAGUUUAUAUAUAAAGUAAAGAUCUAUUCAUAUUUGGUAUUUUGUGUACAGUUAAUCACCUGAGAUGUCCUAUAGACACAUUUAUUUGAAUUUGUUUCUACUUGAUUUGCUUGAGGAUGUUCAUUCCAAUAUAACUUUUACGCCGGCAAUGAUAGUUGACUCAAGUUCUGCUUUAUUUUACCAAAUGUUGCUCUACCAUAAUCAGUGAUUCUGGACAAAUGGUCAGGCUUGUGCCUUGCUGUCUGCAUUAUGGAAUUUUAUUAUUCAACCUGUCGAAAUGGUGCUUCUGAUUGUGCUGAGUCAAUGCUGAAAGAGAUGGAGAGUAAUGUAGUGAACCCUAAUAUGCGGUUUUUGGAUGGUGAGAAGAUGUAAGCUUAGGAUUGAAGAGAGUGGGAUGACAUCACUCCAGAUAUGAUAAUAAUUCAUUAUAAUAUAAGAUCGCAGAUUUUGUUUUAUAAUGGUCUUUUGCAAAGGGUUUCUUUGUUCUGUAUGCUUUUGUAUGAAGUUCCUAUCCAAGUCUUCUGCUGUUUUUCAUUCUAACCAGUUUUGUAGAACUUCACCACAAUGAAACUGAGUAAAAUAUAGCACAAGUGAAAGAAAAAACACCAACAACUGUCUUCCUCUGUGGAGAGCUCUAUCUCUACUAUCACAUUGUAGUAGUGGUAGCCUUUCUUUCCAACAAAUUUCAUUGAAAGAGUGUGAAAGAUAAAACACAAUCUAAGCUGUUCUACAAACACACACAACUGAACGUAGUCAUUAAAAGCUAUAUCAUUACAUUACCUCUUUCCACAGAACUGAUCGGAAACAAAAAUGUCUGCUUCCAAGACCACCAAGAGUCUGUAUCGCAUCUUCUCUAGUAAGCCAAUUUCAACACCUUGCAGGACAAAACCAUCCUCAACACCUUCAAAACCUGGCAGCACAAAACCAACCACAAGAAAAACUCACGACUUACUUGCCCAAAGCUUUUUUGAUGAACGAGACCUCACUAGAUUCGUUGAAAAUUUCAAAACAUUGUCUGAUAUCCCUUAUUUUCGAUCCCGACAGCGGAUUUAUGAAAUUGCAGUUCUUCGUCUUGCUUCAGCUGAAAAGUUUUCAUUGAUUGAAGAAAUUAUCCAACACCAGAAGAAAUAUGAUAACAUUACUAGUGAAGGUUUUGCAAAGAGACUCAUUUGUUUAUAUGGUAAAGCAGGUAUGUUUGAUCAUGCUUUUAAAUUGUUUGAUGAAUUGCCUCAACUAAAUUGUCAAAGAACUUUGUUGUCUUUCAAUGCUCUUCUUACCGCAUGUGUUCAGUCUAAGCAGUUCAAUAAAGUUGAGAAGCUUUUUAGAGAUAUGCCAUUGAAAUUGUCGAUCGUUCCAAAUGUCGUUACCUAUAACAUAGUUAUUCAAGCUUUAUGUGGGACGGGGUCUUUCGAUUCUGCUGAAUCAAUGCUGGGUGAGAUGGAGAGUAAUGAGGUGACCCCCAGUUUGAUUACUUUUAAUACUAUUAUGCAUGGCUUUUAUUACAAUGAGCGGUUUUCCGAUGGUGAGAGAAUUUGGGCUAGAAUGGAAAACAGUGGUAUUGCUCCGGAUAUAGUUAGUUAUAAUGGGAAAAUGCAGGGUUUGCUUAAUGGUGGUAAAAUAUCAGAGGCAGUUGAAUUAUUUGAAGAGCUUCAGAGUAGAAAACUGAAACCUAAUCUUAUUACUUACAAUUUUCUGAUUAAAGCUUAUUGUAAUGAUGGGAAUUUGGAGGCAGCGAUAAGGACGUAUGAUCUUCUAUUGAAGAAACGUUAUGUCCCAAAUCGAUCGACUCUUGAGACGCUAAUUCCAUUUAUUUAUGAGAAGGGAGAUAUAGAUCGUGCUCUUAAACUUUGUAAGGAGAAUGUCAGCGUUAAUUGUUACAUCGGUGUUGGCACAUUGCAAACUGUGGUUAAUGGGUUGGUAAAAGCAUCAAGGACUGAGGAAGCUGAAAAGCUGCUUGCGACUUCUAAACUGUAUGCUUAUUAUUCACAAGUGAAAAUGCCUUCUGAAGAUAGUGAAUAGUUCUUGCAUCAUAAUUAACUUUGUAAGUUAAGCUCAUUACUAUCAGGUUAAAUUUGUAACUUUAUGGCGUACGAUUGGACCUAUAUAUCUAUUUCGGUUGUCAUGUUUUGCAAGCGUUCCUUGUAAUGACUUUUGUUUUAUGACCUCAAUUUGGUUUGUUCGCUAAGGUUUUGUUUCUAUUAAUAGUGUAUAGAGGAGGAAGUGGAUUUUGAAAUGUAGCUUUCAAAAUUUGCCUUUAUUUUUUCUACUCAUGGAAAGUAAGUCUGAGGCUUCAGCCAUAAUCGCGUAUUAAAGUGACCUUAUGCUUCUGAUUGUGUUUACCUGGAGUGUAUGAUUUCUACUGUGCAAAUAAUUUUCUUACAGUUGAAUGAUGAUGAAUGGCAAAUGCCAAUGUUGUACUCAUUUUAGACGUUAUGCUUAUUGUUGAUUGAAUGACUGCUCUUUCGCAUAUAUAGUCAAGACAGGUUUUCCAAGCCCACCUAGCAUUUACAAACAAAGCAAACAGCAAACGCCAUGUUACAACAUGUUCUUAGGAGAUUCUAUGGAUAUGUUUGAUCAACAUAUUUUUCUGUUUUCCACAAGUUUGAACUAGUUCAUCUUAGCUCACUUCCUUCUCUGGUUUUAUUAGAGGUGGAUUUAAGCUUUUGUGUGAACAGGUGAGACUUGCUUUGUAUGUUAUGCCCUCUUCAUUUCCUUGUGGAAUAUCACAUUGAUAGAGAAAUCCAUAGGGUUCUAUUCUUGAGGAAUGGCAAUUGGCAACUAGAGCUCUUUAAUUCUCAAUUAUUUUCAGAUUCAUUAUUGUAAUUGACAAAGAUCCUUCUGCAGUAGUAGGUAAGUUAUGAGGUUAUUGUAAUUGCUUCUGCGCCUGUAGAACUUGAGUAAACAAUGAUCAGUGGUGAUUCUGGACAAAUGGUCAGGCUUGUGUCUGGGUGUCUGCACUAUUGAUCUCUAUUAUUCAAACUGUUGAAAAGGCGCUUUUGAUUGUGCUGAGUUGAUGCUGAAUGAGAUGGAGAGUAAUGUGGUUGUGGUAAACCCUAAUGACCGUUUUUUGGACGCUGAGAGGAUUUAUGCAUUUCUUUCCAACAAACAAAAAUGUCAGCUGCUUCCAAGACCACCAAGAGUCUAUAUGGCAUCUUCUCCGCUAAGCCAACUUCAAAACCUCCCCCAAGCACAAAGCCUUCAACACUUUGCACCACAAAGCCUUCAAAACCUCCCAGCACAAGCCUUCGGUGUUGAGUUUAUCGAUAACACCAGAUGUCAUUUCGUAUAACAUAGUGAUCAAAGCUUCAUCUGAGAUGGGGUCUUUCGAUUCUGCUUAAUCCAUGCUGGGUGAGAUGGAGAGCAAUGGGGUGACACCCGAUUCAAUUACUUUUAAUACUACCAUGUAUGGGUUUUAUUACAAUGGACGGUUUUCCGAUGGUGAGAGAAUUUGGGAUAGAAUGGAAAAGAAUGGCAUUGCUCCAGAUAUAUUUAGUUAUAAUGCAAAACUGCAGGGGUUGCUUUAGUGGAGAAAUAUAUCAGAGGCAGUUGAGUUAGUUGAAGAGCUUCAGAUAGGAGAACCCAAACCUAAUCUUAAAACAUAUAAUAUUCUGAUUAGAGCAUAUUGUAAUAAUGGAUAUUUGGAUGAAGCGAAAAGCAUGUAUGGUUGUCUGUUGAAGAACGGUUUUCGUCCAAGUGGAUCAACUUUUGAGGCACUGAUUCCAUCUAUUUACGAGAAGGGAGAUAUAGACCUUGCUCUUAACCUCUGCGAGGAGAAUGUGGGUGUGAAUUCUGAUAUCAGUGUUGGUGUAUUACAACUUGUGGUUGAUGGGUUGGUGAAAGCGUCAAGGGUAGAGGAAGCUGAAAAGCUUGUGAAGCUUGCAACAUCAAAAAUGUAUUCUCAUUCGAAUUUGAAAAUGCCUUCGUAAUAUACUGUAAGUUUAUCUCAUUCAUAGUAGUUGUGGACUUGUGGGUUACCAUUAAAUAUGGACAUCUACUUCAGUUCUGGUGUUUGUAAAAACGUUCCUUGUAAUUCCUUUUUCUUGUAUAUGCGUUUAGUUUGUUUCAUUAAGGAACUACAAAUGGGAUUAGGAAGUGGACUUUGUAAGGUAGCUUUGAAUGUUUGCAUUUAUCAUUUUGUUUACAGCAUAUAUCUAGAAAAUUAAGAGCGUAAGGAUCACUGGAGGUGGAAGUUAGAGACUCAUAAAAGGUUAUUAGUUUUUUAUACUUGUCAAAAACAAGUCUGCAGCUUUAACCGUUAACGCGUAUUAAAUUGGCUUUAGGCUUCUGAUUGUGUGUAUCUGGAUUGUAUCAGUUUGACGAGUGCAAACAAUUUUUGGAAGUUGAUUGCUUAUACGCAUUUUAGAUGUUAUGUUGAUUGUUCCUACUCUUUCGCACAAGUUUACUUGUUCUGUAUUUUUUGUUAGCAGUUCCUUCUCAGGCUUGCUGUUGUAUUUUCUUAGAACCAGUUUUUAUUUUCCCCUCGUGUGAACACUUAAAAUGGGAACUUGUUCUCCAUGACAUUUGCUUCCUCAAUAUUCUCUUUGGAUCCACACUCAAACUCAGAAGAUCUUCUGAGUUCUGACUACAUACAAAAUGUGAAUCUUAUUUUGUGCAUGUUUCAACUAAUCAUUCAGUAAUUGCCCAUACUUACUCUUGGUUCCUAAGCUAAAUUUAAGCACCUAUCAUGUCGUAGGCUGCUAAUCCCCAGGAAAGGGUCAGCGCACUGAAGAUAUAGAUGACUGGAUGGUUGCGGUUGGUUGAUAAAGACAUCUGAAAUUCUUUUAUUCAGUUUCGCUUACAUUGAAAUUUUGUGAGUUGGACAUUUCUUGUUCAAGGGACAAUGAACAGAUCGAGGUGAAAGUGUGGAACUCUUUUCAUUUCUUGUUCAAGGGACAAAUGUCAAGGGAUUUCUCCUUCCUCAAUAAUUAUUUUGGAUCCAGACUUAAUUAUGAUCAUAAUAUCAUCAAGCGUCAACAGGUCUUCUGCGCUUCGCACACUUACUAUGUCUUUUUAUGACUAGGAAGUUCAUGUACCAUUGAGUUCACUAAUCAUGAAGUAAUCCUCGAAACCAAUGUUUCCUUCCUAAUCCUUAUUUAAGCACCUGUAACUGUGGAGCCUCUAAUUGUCUGGAAAGAGCCAGAAGCCUUGAUGGUUGGUUGAUAUGUACAUGUGCAAUUCUGUUCUUCAGAUCAAAUAUUGAACUUCCUAUGAGUUCAACCAUCUCAGGAAUUGUAAUGUAUUAGGAAAUAUUGUAGCGUUUUGUGCAGAAGUUAUACUACAAAUAAAAGUUGGUUUGGAGAUUUAAGUGUUUCUAUGUGCCAAACUGUGUUGAAGGAAUUUCUUUUUUAGUCUUUUUGAUGUCAAGAGAGUUCUUUUUGUCAAUUUUUUUUUUUUUUUUUUAGUUGUGCUCACUUUUAUUUGGCUAUGACAUUUUGGCAUUAGUUGAACUAAACAUGUUUCCUCACGCGUUUUCGACCAGAAGCACAUAUCAACCUUUAAUAUAGGGUGUGUGCGUUUAUAGGGUGUGCAUUUAAACAGGUUUCACUGUAGUUGUAAUGCUCCGAACCAGUUUCCCACUCUGCAUCAUAAUUUUAGUGUAUUUGAAAGUGGUACAGUUCAACAGUAUAAUGUUCAAGCCAACCCAACGAGUCAAUGAACCCGCUAUAAAUAGCGGCAUUUCUGGUAUGGUCUUAGGCCAGGAACCUGCUUGGAAUAGCCAGUAGGCUUGCCCCUGGAGUGCAGAAAUGCAGAAUGCAACACUUUGGUCACUUGGUAGCAACUAACUGCAGCAUCAGUAUCAUGGGCUUUGUGGAAAAAUGGGCUUAGGUUUGGUUAGAGUGAGUUUUAUUAAACAAAAACCCUCAACACUUGGAGAGCUAAGAGUUCAACAUUCAAGAUUCAACAACAAUGUCUUCUUCUUCUUCAACUUCUGCCAAGAGUCUUUAUCGCAUCUUUACCAAAACAACUUCUUCAAAACCUGUCAUUAACACAAAACCCUCAAAACCAACUCCAACCCACAAAUCUCUAGUUGAUAAACUCUUCAGAGAAAAAAACCUCUCUAAACUUGUUGAAAAGUUCAUAAAAUGCUCUGAAAUCCCUCGUUUUCGAGGUCAUCACAAUAUUUAUGAAGAUACAGUUCGUCGUCUUGCUUCAGCAAAGAGAUUUUCAUUUGUUGAACAAGUUAUUGAACAUCAAAAGAAGUAUGAUGACAUUACUUGUGAAGGUUUUGCAAUGAGACUUAUUUCUUUAUAUGGUAAAGCAGGUAUGUUAGAUCAUGCUUCUAAAUUGUUUGAUGAAUUGCCUCAACUAAAAUGUCAAAGAACUUUAAAGUCUUUCAAUUCUCUUCUUUAUGCUUGUGUUCAAUCUAAGCAGUAUGAUAAAGCUGAGAAGUUUUUUCGAGAACUUCCUUUGAGUUUGUCUAUAACCCCAGAUGUUAUUUCGUAUAAUAUUGUUAUACAAGCUUUUUCUGAGAUGGGGUCUUUGGAUUCUGCUGAAUUGAUGUUGGAUGAGAUGGAAAGUAAUGGGGUGAAGUCGAAUUUGAUUACUUUCAAUACUAUUAUAAAUGGGUUUUAUCACAUUGGAAAAUUUUCGGAUGGUGAGAGGAUUUGGGCUAGAAUGGAAGAGAGUGGCAUUGAACCUGAUAUUAGAAGUUAUAAUGCAAAACUUAAGGGUCUUGUUCAUGGAGGAAAGAUGGCAGAGGCAGUUGAGUUAGUUGAAAAGCUUGGGAGUAGUGAACUGGAAGCUAAUCAUGUAACAUAUAAUCUUCUUAUUGAAGGGUACUGCAAUGAUGGAUAUUCAGAUGAGGCUAAAAGCGUAUAUGAUCAUAUGUUGAAGAGUGGUUGUAUCCCAAACAGAACGACUUUUGAGACACUAAUUCCAUAUAUUUAUGAGAAGGGAGAUUUAGAUCUUGCUCUUAAGCUCUGUCUGGACAGCGUGAAUUCAAAUUGUUUGAUUGAUGUAGGCGUAUUACAGGUUGUGGUUGAUGGGUUUGCAAAAGCGUCCAGGAUCAAGGAAGCAGAGAAUUUUGUAAAGCUUGCUAGGUCAAAAAAGUAUCAUGAUUCGAAGUUGAAAAUGCCUUCUAAAGUUGACUGAUAUAGAUCUUUCUUCAUGUUUAGUUGGUAAGUGAAAUCCGUCCUAAGCAGUCAAUUCCUCAGAUAUGGCUUUACGAUAUGAUUGGAUUUAAACACCUACUUAAGUCGUUAUUCAAGCAAGAGGCUCGUCAUGGUACUUCAUUUUUCCCUGUUUUGUUUCUUAUUUGAGCUUUGUUUUGAUGUUUAGCCGUUUAGGUUUAUUUUAUCCAUGAAGAAUUGUUUCUUUCUUUCUGAAGCUACAAAUUUGAUUAGAUAGAUAGUGCAUGGGGGAGGCACUGGAUUCUUAAUGAAGCGUUAAAUUGCAAUUUUGUUCUGGAACAUAAAAACUGAAAUGUUUUAGUUGUCGAAUUGGCUGUAUGAGCACGGUUGAUUGAUUUGAGCAUCAUUUAAUGAUUUAGUAAUCCUGGGUUCCAUUGCUUUAUCAAUUAUUGAGGACUUGUUUGUCUGGUUACAGUACAUGAAUGUAUAAUUACUCUGCUAGUGAUGAUUCUGGAAUUUUUAUUUACUUUUGUGAUGGAACAGGUUUUUUUUUUUUUUUUUUUUUUACAACAAACCUAGCAAGAUGCUAGAGAACAGAACUGGCUGAGUCAUACUUGAGCUUAUCUGAGAACACCUUUGAGCCACUGAACCGAAGCCUUUGGAAUCCUGGUAAGGUUAUUCUUGUAAUCCACAUAGUAGAGACCAAACCGCACAGUGUAGCCCGAGUUCCAUUCCCAGUUGUCUAGUAAAGACCAUAUAAAAUAACCACGCACAUCGCAUCCAUCCAUCCUACAUUGAUUAUGUUUUUUGUACAUAAGAAUGGAGAGCUCAAGCCUUCAAUAUAUAUAUAAGAAUUGGAAGUUGUAUUUUAAUUAACAAAACAUCUCAAAACAUCCGAAAGUUCUGAUCAUAACAGGAGUUCUUAGUACCUAAUAGCAGUGGAUAAAUUGGAAAGAUAGUCCUGGUGGUAGCUUAUCCUUUUAUUAUCCUGUAGAGCGGUGUUUAACGAUGUAAAAGGUCUAUUUGGAUCAUCCAUACCUGUGACAAUUAACCUCAAGUGUGUCAUAUUUCCUGCAAUUUAAGGUUAAGCCUUUGAUAGUUGACACUUGCCAUUUUCAGUGAUGAUAACUGGUGGGUUCCCAUAGACAUCCUUUACGUAUUUUGCCAACUUCCUAAUGCCCCAAGGAACAAUGUGAAGCCAUUUGGAAGCAGCCUAAGAAAAGAACAAUGGUGAACUAUCAUUAUUGCAGAAUUUUAAUAUACCACUUAAAGUUAGAACAGUUGUAAGAAGUGUAAUAACGUACUCUUUCGCCAAUUGGGACUCCACCUCGAGAAGCUAGUGAUAAAUAUUAAAUAGUAAGAUUAAAAUCAGGAUUUUCAACCUUGGAAUGAAGGCUGGGGGAAUAAGAGAAGAUGUGAAGUAAUAAUUUAACUUACAGGUUGUAAUAACAGCAGCAUCCGAUGACGCAUCCUGCAAUACCAGUUUCCUAAUUCGAUUCCGAUCGUUCCUGGCAUAUAAAGUGGUAUAAUGGUUCAAGCCAAUGAAAUCCAGAGACCCCACCAGAAACUUGGACAUCUUUGGUGUUAUCUCUGGUAGCCUAUCACCAACUAGGGUUUGCAUUGAAAGUGGAUAAUUGCCGAAGAACAGGGGAUCGAGGAACCUGCUUGCAGAAGCUUUUUUGUCAUACUCUUAGUUGUCUGUUACUUUGUUAGUACCUAGAAGAAAAUUUCACAUUAGAUUUUUCCCUGAGAUAUUACCAUCCAAGCGCAAAAUCCAAUGCCCUCUGAGCCGCAAAAGUGUCCUCGUCCUUCUGAGAAAUGGGCUCAUACCAUUUAGCAUCAAGAGCUAUUCCAACUAGCCCUCCUUGUCGUUUCUGAAAGAUCCAAAUUGAAGGACUUACUUACGUUUUUAUUGCAUCCAUUGGUUCACUAUUAAUCUCAUAGAUUUGGAGAAGCUAACCUUGAAAUGGAGCUGGUAAGUAUGAAACGCAGAAGCAUGAGCUAAGAGUAUGUUGUGAGCAACAAUGUACGGUUCAGUGGAUGAUUUUCCCUUCUUGCAGAACAAGUGGCCAAGAAUAGAGCACCUUCCUGGAGCUUGAAGGCCUAUGUCAUAACCUAGGAGUGAGAAUCCAUGAGGUUCAUUAAAAGUGAUCCAGUAUUUUACUCUAUCGCCAAAUGUUUGAAAGCAGGUGUAUGCGUAGCGCUCGAAGUCUUCUCUGUUAGAAGUAAGGUUGUCACUAUUGCUUCAGAAGUAGUUUUCUGGAAAUAAUGACUAAUAUAUACUUACAUGCUUUGUUUGCUUAACCAUCCAUUGUAUCUAUCUUCAAGUGCCUGUGGAUGAUCCCAGUGAUAGAGGGUUGCGUAUGGUUUAAUUCCUGAUGGACAAAAGACUUGUUAACUAUUCCCUCUUUAGUUCCCAAUUUCCUUAAAUUCAUAUAAUGUGAGACCUUUCUCCAGCAGGUUAUCUAUGAGGCUGUUGUAGUACUUAAUUCCUUCUUGAUUGGGUUUUCCAGUUCCAUCUGUUUAUGAAAGAGACUCAGAAAGAGUAGAUCAUACACACAAGAAAAUGGUAGAAAGCCCCAGGACAAAAAAAAAAUCUUACUUGGGAAGAUCCUAGACCAUGAUAUCGAGAAUCUGUAGGCGUCCAUUCCCAAAUCCUUCAUUAAAUCUACGUCAGUCUGCAAAUAGGCAUUCUAUGAAUAUGGUCACUAUCUUCAGAAAAAAAUAUCACUCUAAUAGUCCAACAUAAGGAACUGUUUCUAAUAUAGUUUAACAUUUAUUUAAGAACAGGUCUUAUCUUAAUGGUUUAAUAUUCAAAUUUCAUUUGCUUGAACUGAUAUCUUCAAUGUGCCUAUCAAAAAUGCAAGUUCUAGCUAGCUAGAUCAACAUGCUUGUCGAACUUCUACUGUUCUACAAUAUUUGUUUAUGUUGAUGUUCUUCACCUUGAAUCUAUGGUACUGGUCUACAGUUAUAUCUGCAUUGCUGAAGUCCAGGAUUCGCCCUGUUAAAAAAACUUCUGAUGAGCUCAAUAAUCAGAAUCCUUGGUGGUUUUUAUUAAGAAUUCGCACCUGGUCUCCUGGUGAAAGUAUCCCAUAUACUGUCUCCUUUGUUUCCUUCAUUCACAGCUCCUUCAAACUAAGACCACAAGUUCAGUAAGCUGUGGUCCUGUAUACAAAAGAAUUAAAAGCAGAGAACAGUGAACAUAUACCUGAUAUGCCGAUGAAGCAGUUCCAAAGAUAAACCCAUCAGGAAAAUCUCCUCUGCUGAUGGCCUUUGAAUUUGUCAACAGUCCCAUGAUGCAUGAUAGUAUUAAGAUGAUACCCAUAUUGUAAAACUUCAGAGAAAGGUUACAUGAAAUGGUAUAAUUAUAUAUAGGUUCACUUUGUCUUAGUUGUUAAGGGUGAAGAUAAUAUAGGCUGGAUGAAGAGAUUAUCUUCUUUGAUAUUCUUGGAGGGUAUUUGUUGGCAUAUAGCAGUUAUUUGUCUAAUAUUUCUUGGUGCAGAAUCCUGGCGGUGAAGUUUGUAGGAUAUGGGAAAACGUAGGAUAAGUAGAAAGUUUUUGAGUUGUUGAUGAUGUGACUUGCUUCCAACAUCAUCAAAUGUGUAUUUUAGUACAUCACCAUUCCCUUCUCCAUCUUGCAAGGGUAAUCACUUUGGUGUUGGAUGUGCUUACACGCCAGUGUUUGAUAUGCAAAUUUUGCAAGCAAUGAGUCCAUUUGGAAUGAUAUUAUGCUUUCAUCCUAUAGAAUCCCUUAAUCACGAGUCAUUGCGUGUCAAAUGAAACAAUACAUGUAUCUAAUAUCAUGUCCUAACUAGCAAUGUUUGCUUUCAGCAUCAUCAUACUGCAUUUUUAGAAGUUUGUCGCAACAAACUUUACCCGAUCAACUGUGUAAUUGAUCAAAACUAGAAACUAUAUACAACAUCACGGACAUGGAUAUGCAAUAAAUCAAGCAGAGUUCGAACUCAACUCCUUUGAUCAACCAUCAAAGCCUCUAUUCAGCUCAAGCUAAUUAUACCGUAAACAGGCAGAAUACCACUAAAAUUUAUAAUAGAUAGACCAGUGAUAUAAAUACUUGACAAAUCAGUUAGCAUUUAGCAAUAUCUUGAACCAUAUAUCCCAAAAUUCCCAAUACUACAAUAAGAACAAAAUACAGUACCCAAAUAGCUUAUAAUAGCCGAGAAAAACAGGAUACAAAUAAUACAAUAUUCCCACUGAUCUUGUUCAAAAUUGGUACCUCAAAAUGUUCACAAAUCCACUGAAGCUAUACUCAAUCUUCAGGUUUAUCGCUCAAUUACCUCGUCAGGUAAGAAACAUCAUCCUCUUUGUCCCAAUAUUCAAAUGAUAGAUCAUCUUGUUCAAGAAUUUCUUCUUCAUUUAUAUGCUCCAUAAGAAAUUAAAUAAAUGGAAGUUUAGAUGUAUGUACUUACUGGUCUCUUUCCAGCAUUGUGAAUAUUGGCAGCCCUCUAUAACAAUGCUUGUAUGAUUCUUUCUUCCAUACCCGUGGAUUGUUCAUCAAAGUUUCUCUGUAUUUCCUCUAUUUUUGCCUCAAAGCUUCUCUUCAUUUGAUCAAAGUCCUGUUGUCCCUGCUCUUCCUUUUCUUGUGUUUGCCUUCUCAUUUCGACAAUUUCACGUUGCAUUUCAUGUUCUCAUUCUUGUCUUGUCCUUCUCAUUUCAGCCAGUUCGUUCUCCAAUUGUUCAAUAUGAUGGGCACCAUUAUGAUUCAAUGAAGAUGUUCGGGACCCAAAAUAAUGGAGGCACAUGGAUGAAAGGACAGCAAUAACAGUUUGGAUAACAGACAGAAUGAUUAUAGAAAACAAAAUCAAGAAGAUGUUAACAAUAACAGAAAAAUUAUGGAAAGAACAUGGUAAUUAACAAAUGCAUAAGAGAACAGGUAUAUCAGUAAACACUUUGAUUAAGCAUUUAUCAAAGUGUGAAACAGAAUAAGAGUAUUAGAACAAUCACGAGCAAUAGAAGAAACCAAAUUACCCGUCCAAGCAAUUGAAGAAACCAUGUUAAGUUUGUGUGAAUCUGCAGUCCAAGUUAAUUGAAGAAACCAAGUUAAGUUAACAGUCCAAGAUGAAUGAGUCUAAGGGCUGAUUAGAAGCAAUGUAUUGCUACCAUUAAAUUGGUUUGAUUGUUUUUAUGCAACAUUGUUUAUUGGUCUGGCUAAUUUAUGCAAACAGAUGAAGAAUAAGAGACUUGUUAUGUAGUGAUUGAGAUUAAUUGAAGUAUACUACAUUAUUGUCUGCACACACCUGAUGAGGUUGCUGAGAGUUAUCUUUAUAAAGAGAAUAAUCCACAUCAGGUAUUGAUACCGCUUUUAGUGUUGGUGCCCCCAUCGAUGUGAUUCCAUUCCACAAAGGAAUGCCUCUGUGUAGUUUACUAGCCUAACAUGUGUUUCAAAAAAGCUUUAGCAGAAUGGUAAGAACCAAGCAUUAACACAAACGAAACAAAGUACAAACAACAAUGAUAAGAAUCAUGAACACCAGAUAUAAUAAGUAAGAACAAUAAUCAUUAGAUUAAUUGUAUUAUUAGCAAUAAACAAAUUAAAUAAUUGUAGCUUAAGGUAAAUAAUCAGAAGCUUUCAAUUCCACUUAACAACAUAAGUUCUAACUCUUUCCAAUCGUUAGGACCCCAUACCUUUUCUUCAUCGACAGUAUUGUAGGCAAACUGAUUGUCCAUCAGAGAAGCAAGAAUUGAAUCCAUAUCAGGUAUCGCUACCCCUGUUAGUGUUUGUGUUGGUGCUCCAUUUGAUACACAUGAUGUCGAUGUGGUUCCACAUUCGGUCAAGCAUGAAGUAGUUGUUACCAUACUGUCUGCGCAUAUAUGAUCGGGUCGCCGGGAGUUAUCUUCAUAAGAAGAAGGCAGAUCAUCAACAGUCCUUUGUGGACUCAAUGAAUAUGAUGUUACAUUAUUGUCUGUGCACACCUGAUGAGGUUGCUGAGAGUUAUCUUCAUAAAGAAAAUUAUCCACAUCAGGUAUUGAUACCCCUGUUAGUGUUGGUGCCCCCAUCGAUGUGAUUCCACAUUCGUUCAAGCAUGAAGAAGUUGUUAAAUUAAUGUCUGCGCAUACCUGAUGAGGCUGCUGAGAGUUGGCUUCAUAAAAACUAGGCAGAUCAUGGAGUGUCGUUAGUGGACUCAAUGGAUAUGAUGUUGAUGCCAUAUUGCAGUCAUCUCCACUAGGAUUACAGUACCUAUAAUAAUCAAAACUGUUGUCACAGGCAUCCCCUUGUUGGUGAUCAGGUUGAAAGAAUUCACUCUCCGAAUGCCAUGGAUAGGAUGAAGAAAUUGAUGCAGUGACGCAUUGAUUGACUACUACUUUUUGUUGUUGAUCGAUAACACAUUGUGGUUGCUGCUGUACCACUACUAAUCCUUCAUCACACAUUGUGGUAUUCGAUUUCGAUGAUGAUCCUCUAUAACAGGUGCGCCUCUUCUUCUUCGUCUUAUCAUCAUCAUCAUCAUCAUCAUCAACCUCUAGUACAACCCUUUUCCUCUUUAAAGCAGUAGAAGGUAUCACAUCAUCAUUAUAUUUAGACUCUCUGAGUAAAUUUCCCUUUCUAAGUUUACAAAGAGCCCAAAUUGAACCUUUCAUAGUAAACUCAUGCAUAAUCCAACUAUGUUGCUCUUCCUCAUUGUUGUUGGUUUCUAAUUUCGACUUGGCAACAAAGUUGAAAGCAGAUCUAUAUCCAAUAAGUAAAGACUUGUUCUUUUCAUCAAAAACAUUAUAAGUCUUUUGAAGUUUCCAAGUUCCAUUACCAGCAAUUCGAUCAAUUCUUUUAGUAGAAGGAUUAUUAAUAGACUUCUUCUUAAUCUUAGUGAAGAAGUAUAACCAAUUAUCAAAAACAGAAGAAUCAAAACAUGAAGAACAAGUUUGAAAAAUCUGAGAAGGUGAUUCAUUACCAUACAAGUCACGAUCUUUAAUCAAAUUCAAUAUAGGUAAAGCUUCUCCAUUGAUUUUCUUCUUAAGAUAUUGCAAAAUUAACUCAGAAUCAGAUGGAAUAAAUCGAAACCCUGGUGGUAAUCGCAAUGGCUUCAUCUUCUGCAAUCGAAACCCUAAUUACUAUAAUUAGAAACUAGAAGCAGAGGAAAGAGAGAGAGAGAGAGAGAGAGAUUUCUAUUUCUAUGAAAAAGUGUUUCAGAUUGCGUUCUGAUUUUAUAGGUUUCCUUUAGCGGCGCAGAUACAUUAAUCAUGGUCUGGGCUUGGGUUAACCGGCCCAUUGUUUUAAUUCGGUGACUAGGGAUUAGGGUUUAGUUUGGGAUUCAAAAUUAGAACCCGGUGGUCGGGUCAUUGAUGGGAUGUGGGAUUAGGUCAUCCUAAUCCAAACCCGCCCAUGUAUAUUACCUAAACCCUAAUAGGAUAUAGGAAUUACUAAUUUUUUUCUUAUGAAGUUGUAUUAGUAGUUUUGGAAGCUACGGAAUGGAUUAUUAUUCAAUUACAUAAGACCUCAAGAUUAAUUAGUUAUGAUCUUGAUUCCAUUAUAUUGGUUUUUGUUGGGUUAGUAAUUUAAAUUUAGUUUUGAAAGUGUAAAACUAAUUCAACAAUAUUAAUAGAAUUGUAAAAUACCCAACCCGAUCCGUCCCAUUUAAAUAAAUGGGAUGGGACGGGUUGGGAUGGGAUUAAGUAUUUUUGUAAUGGGUGGGUUUGGGAUUUGAUAUUAGAACCCGGGAUGGGUUCUGGGUGGGAUUGGGAUUAAAGAUUGUUAAAUGGGAUGGGACUGGGAUUAGUGAAACCCGUCCCGGAUCCGACCCAUUGCCAUCCCUAUCGGUGACAGUAUGAAGAUUCUGACUGAAUGGAGCAGGAAUCAACCAACUCAUUUGUCCACCGAUACAAUAGGCAACCGUGAUUAUGUUCCAACUAUGUGAAUAUGCACGUUUUUGCGUGCAAUUGAGGUUGGGUAAUGGUAUCAAGAAGAACCUGAACAUAUUUUAGCACACAUGCACUCUCAUUCAAAUCAGAAACAUUUACUCACCGAAAAAUCAAAAUAACAUAAAAUAAUUCAAAACAAAAAAAUAAGGUCAAAACAAAAAAAAUUACCCAAACUAAGAGAGAAGAAUGAAUGACAUAUUUCGAGAAAUUAAUUAGCAAUUGAUGAUUGGUAGGAAGAUGAAGAAGAUUCUCGAAAAAGCGAGAACGAAAAUCUAGAACGGUGAAAUAGUUGGGCUUUGUUAAACAACAAAGGGCUGAAUAGUUGUUGGGCUUCAACAGUGUUAGGUUUUGUUAAAUUCUAAAUCCCAAUUUUUGAUCCCUUUAAGUUAAAAGGUUGAAUAGUUCUUGGGCUUCAACAGUGUUGGGCUUUGUUAAAUUCUAAAUCCCAAUUUUUGAUUUAAGUUUUAAUUAAGUUAAAAGGUUGAAUACAUGGAAAUCUAAAAACACGACAGAUAAGGCCUCGCAAACAAACUUCGGGAAAGAGGCGCAUUAUAAAGUAGUACAAAUAUGAUCACAAUCGUUGCAUCAUCGAUCAAUAACCAUGAUCCGAUAUUUUCUACUGAAUAUUGGAACCUACUAUAUAUUACAAAGUUUAGUAACGGAUAUUAUGUGUACAUAUAUUGUUGUCAGUCAUGCACAGUGGCGUAGCCAGCGCGGGUACGCACCAAUCCUUUAACAUUAGGCAAAUGAUGAACAGUUGUGUAAAAUAUUUACCACCAAAAGCUCAUUAAAUAAGAAAUGUAUACCACCGACAUUCAAGAGAAUUAUAUUUUACGAAAAAGUUAUCAUAAUUGCAUUACAAUUUUUUUUAUCAAGCAUUUGAUCAACCCGAGAGGAUAUGCAUCUUAACAAAUUGAAGAAUAAGGCUAUUGGCUAUUUUGAGAUAAUUAGUAAAGUAAAUGAUAAAAAAUAAAAGGUCAUAUCCAAGAAUUAAAAAGGUUUUUUUUUUUUUUAAUAAAGUCUUAACAAAUGAGCAAAAGUUUUUCGUUAAUUAUUAUCUUCGUGACUCAUGAGAUUCUGCAGGGAAGAGUUUGGUUAUAAUUGGAAAGACAAAUAUACCAAAAAAAUGAAAUAAAGAGACCUAUAUUAGAGAUAUUUAAGGAUAUUUAUUUACAAAAUCAUCAGUAAAUCUUGUAUGUAACGAUUAAUUAGGAUAUAAAUCAUUUUCUAACCAAUCAAAAGCUAUAAAUAUUUUUUCUUCCUAAAAUAUAGAUUCUACAGGGAAGAGUACGCACGUGCGUACCCUUACACCCCCUGGCUACGCCCUUGGUCAUGCAUGUUUUUCUUAGACGAUACAAGAAAAACAGGACAUGCGCAGGAACUCGGUCAGGACAAAGUAUUUCUAAAAUAUAUUGUUCAUUUUUUUUUUUGAAACGAAAAGUAUAUACUUCCUCUUAAUCUGUUCAUUUUAAAUGUACAUUCAUAAUGAAUAUUUUCAAAAAAUAUUAAACUAUGACUAUAUUUUACGUACCUUAAAUGUCAUAGUAGAUCGAUCUAGGGAACUAAUGGCUUCAGCUUUUAAUAGACUGAGUUCAAGCAGUAAAAGAUAUCAACCAUCUUUAAAGGGUAUACUGAGUUGAGUAGAAUGUUUUGCUUGGUAUAUUAUUUGUUUUUCUUAAUUGGAAUUGUAAUCAAAGUACUAGUUUCUAUUUUGAUAUAUAUCUUAUUUAGAAGCAACAGUUUAAACUACUGCCCCAAGCCCUGGUGGUAAUCGCAAUGGCUUCAUCUUCUUCGUUCGUGUUAAUUGUCAAUCGAAACCUUAAUUACUAUCAGAAGAAGAGAGAGAUUUUGAUUGAAUGGAGCAGGAAUCAACCAACUCAUUGUCCACCGAUACAAUAGCCAACCGUGAUUAUGUUCCAAUAUAAUCACAAUCGUUGCAUCAUCGAUCAAUAACCAUGUUCCGAUAUAUUUCUACUGAAUAUUGGAACCUACUAUGUAUUACAAAGUUUAGUAACGGAUAUUAUGUGUGUACAUUGCUGUCAGUCAUGCACAGUGGCGUAGCCAUGAUUUUUAGCGAGGGUACGCACCAAUCCCUUAACAUUAGGCAAAUAAUGAACAGUUGUGUAAAAUAUUUACCACCAAAAGCUCAUUAAAUAAGAAAUAUUUACCACCAAGAGAAUUAUAGUUUACGAAAAAGUUAUCAUAAUUGCAUCACAAUUUUUUUAUCAAGCAUUUGAUCAACCCGAGAGGAUAUGCAUCUUAACAAAUUGAAGAAUAAGGUUAUUGGCUAUUUUUGAGAUAAUUAGUAAAGUAAAUGAUAAAAAAUAAAAAGUCAUAUCCAAGAAUUAAAAAGGUUUUUUUUUUUUAAUAAAGUCUUAACAAAUGAGCAAAAGUUUUUCGUUAAUUAUUAUCUUCAUGACUCAUGAGAUUCUAUAGGGAAGAGUUUGGUUAUAAUUAGAAAGACAAAUAUACUAAAAAAAUAAAAUAAAGAGAUCUAUAUUAGAGAUAUUUAAGGAUAUUUAUUUACAAAAUCAUCAGUAAAUCUUGUUGGUAACGAUUAAUUAGGAUAAAAAUCAUUCUCUAACCAAUUAAAAGCUAUAAAUAUUUUUUCUUCCUAAAAUAUAGAUUUAUAUUUCUGAACAAAUAUAUAUACUAAAAAAAAUUCAAUAUUUCAGGGUACGCACGUGCGUACCCUUACACCCCCUGGCUACGCCCUUGGUCAUGCAUGUUUUUCUUAGACGAUACAAGAAAAACAGGGCAUGCGCAGGAACUCGGUCAGGACAGAGUAAUUCUAAAAUAUAUUGUUCAUUUUUUUUUUUUUUUUUUGAAACGAAAAGUAUAUACUUCCUCUUAAUCUGUUCAUUUUAAAUGUACAUUCAUAAUGAAUAUUUUCAAAAAAUAUGAAACCAUGACUAUAUUUUACAUACCUUAAAUGUUCACAGUAGAUCGAUCUAGGGAACUGAUGGUUUCAGCUUUUAAUAGACUGAGUUCAAGCAGUAAAAAAUAUCAACCAUCUUUAAAGGGUAUAUUGAGUUGAGUAGAAUGUUUUGCUUGGUUUAUUAUUUGUUUUUCUUAAUUGGAAUUGUAAUCAAAGUACUAGUUUCUAUUUUGAUAUAUAUCUUAUUUAGAAGCAACAGUUUAAACUACUGCCCCUAGCCCCCAAGGAUUCCAGUUCUAGGUUGAUUUGGUAUUGUCCUAUAAAAAAAGGUGUGUUGUUUGUGAAGGUUAUUCUGGAUUAGUUGUUUUUCUCUCUAUUUGUGUGUAUCAGUUUCUUUAAAAACUUAAUUUUCUUCUUUGACUUAUACAAAAGAGAACAUGGUUCUUAUCCGCAUGCAGUACAUAUGCGAGUGAAAAGUCUUCCAUUAAUUGGAUGUGUGAAACUGGGGUAAAACAAAAAUGGAUGCAGAGAAUGGAUUUUCUUCCCAGAAAUAUAUAGAAACAUGAAACACCUACGAAUGGCAGAAGGCAUGUGGUAUCCAAUGAGGAGUUGCAAUAGAAGAAAAAGUAGACACACCGGGAGCAACAACAAAAGGUUGAGGGAGAACUCCAAUGCAAUUAUAGACCGCAAAAGAUCAAGGACAGAGAAAGAGGAUGCCUACAUCCUCUCCUCGCCAAACUGGUCAGGGCUACUAGAUGUUCUUAUAGGGGUGAUACUGCACAAGCUGACCAGCAUCCGUGAUCGCAUUCGGUUUGGCAGUGUCUGCACAAUCGUGGCAAAGUGUCUAACGUCAUAAAUGUCCCACUAAUUAUGUUCCUCGCCAACUUCCAAUGCUUAUGAUUCCAAAUUAUGAGAGGCACACACUUAACAUCCUCAGCCCGACCUUUUGUUGGGGGAAGAGGAUGAAGAAGAAAUAUGUAUGACUUGGACAUACGGAUACCAAGUUACAACCGAUGUGUUGGUUCCACCGCCAAGGGGUGGCUCAUAAUUGAAGAGAGGAAGGACUUGGCCAAUACAAUUUGUCUACUGAAGUAUGCCAGGGUCCCAUAACGACCUCAAUCCGUUAGAUCGUUCACCUAUAUUCAAAGAUUACAUCAAUGGACACAUGCCGAACGUCAACUUUGAGGUAAAUGGUAAUCCUUACUAUAUAGGUUAUUAUUUGGCUGAUGGGAUAUAUCCAACAUGAGCUUAUUUUAUCAAAUAUAAAAAAGUUCCUAAUGGGUCAAAGAGAAAUAUUUUAUCACAAAACAAGAAUCAACGCGGAAGGAUAUAGAACGAGCAUUUGGAGUUUUAAAAGCUCGAUGGCAUAUUCUUGCAAGACCUUGUUUAUUUUGGAAGGAGGAGACAAUGGGAAAUGUUAUGAGAGCUUGCAUUGUGUUACACAACAUGAUUAUAGAUGAUGAGCGCGUAGAUAACAUUCAUCAAUACAUUCUUGAUUAUGAGCUUACUGAUCAUGAUGUUCACAUAAGAGGUAAUUUAGUAGCUAUGAUGACGUGUCUCAACACUCGAAUGGAUUUGUUGCAAUCUUCAAACACUCAUUGUAAUUUGAAGAAUGAUAUCAUCCAACACUUGUGGAAUAAAAGGGGAGAUCAUGCAAACAAAGAUGGAGAUGAUUAGUAUUUUAUUAAUAUUUUUACUACGUUGUAGUUUUGUUUAAGUUAAUGUAUCUUUCAUUCAGUUGAUGCACUUUUUAUUAAGUUAAUGUAUUUUAAAUUAAGUUAAUCUAAACUCGCGCAACGUUACAAAACUCGAGCGAAAUUACACAACUUGCGCGACAUUACACAAAUCGCGUGAACUUCUUAUAAAUAGUUUGUCAUUUUAGUUUUUUAUGUAUCUUUCUAAUGUCCACAAGAAAGAGAAGUGAUCUUUGUUUCUCCAUUGAAGAUGAAUAUAUCUAUCAUGCUUGGAAGCAAACACCAAGAGAAACAAGUGAAACAAGUGAAACAGAAACAUUGUUCUGGAGACGACUUCAUCAAAAGUAGGUCGAAUUGGAAGUUCAUCUGAGUAAACGAUCUAUAAAAGCAAUUCGUGCACGGUUUGAUAUAAUCAAAACUAAUAUCAUCCAUUUUCAAGAUAUAAUGGUUUAUCUUGAACGUUACAAAGUUUUCAAGACAGAAGAUGAUCAUAUUUCACAAGCCUUGACUAUUUUAAAAAUAGUCAUGGAUUUUGGUUUGACUCGACAGAUUGCUGGUAUAUUCUUAAAGAUUUCAUUUCUACAUUAAGAAGUGAUUCACAAGUUGAUUCAACUGAUCGAUUUAAGUAUUGAUUUAGAUUCAGUACUUGGCUUAGAUGAUCUUUAAAUGUAAUUGGUUUAUUUGUUUUCAAUAAGUAAAGAAUAAAGUACUUGUGUUUAAAAUAGUUUGUAGAUUGCUUAAAAAUAAAAAGAUUCAAAUACUAAUGCAUUACUUAAAAACAAUUAUUCAAAUACAAUAAUAUAAAAUUAUUCUUCUACUCUUCAUCAGUAGCACUAGAGCUGUGUAUGUCAUCAACAUCACCAACAUUUGAACCAGUUGCACUUCCUGGAGUAGUAGUAGGCCUCCCAUAGCUUGGAUGUGGAACUACAUAGGGUUGUGGUUGUGGAAUCACAUAGUUUGGUUGAGGCAUCCCAUACUGUGGUUGAGGCACCCCAUAACUUCCUUGUGGCACCCCAUACGGUGGUUGAGGGACCCCAUACUGUUGUUGAGGCAUCCCAUAGCUUCCUGGUGGCACCCUAUAGCUUCUUGGUUGCACCCCAUUGCUUCCUGGUUGCACCUCAUAGCUACCUUGAGCUUAGUCUUGAGCUUUCCACUUUGCUGCUACUGCUUCUUAUCGUGCCUUAUACACCUUCAAUUAGACAGUAUGGUUAGAACUUCUAAAAAAAGCACGCUCAUGCCAAAAUGAAGUUCUCUCUCACUUUUAUAAAGUUUUCAUUUAUUUUACGGGGGAGUCUCAAUUUCUUUUUGCCACCCAAGAUGAAGACCAUGCUGCAUGGCAACAACCAAGAGAAAGAAAACGACCUCGACAGAAAAGACCGCAUCCUAAAACGGAAACAGAAUCAUCUAGGGUAUCUUCCCAAGGUUCAUGGAACACUCCUGACCAGUUUUCUUCCCAAGGUUCGUGGAACCUCCCUUAUUCUCAAAACAACAUCCAACCUACCUAUGUUUACCCUCAUUUUUCUUAUGGUAACAUGGGAACCUCCCAAAUUGAUGAUUCCAGUGUACCAUCCUACCAAACCCAACCAGAUUCCAGAGGUUCUUGGUUUCCUAAUAUAGGGAGUUGGUUGGCCCCAAUGACAAGUAGGUCAGACGUGCAGUCAGCCGAUACAUUAAUGCCGGUUCAACAAUACUCGAGAUUUCCUAUCUUUGAAUCAUUUGCUUCGUAUUGUAUGGAUCAAGAUGCAUAUGAUAUGCAUAUUGACCAAUUCAGGUCGUACGAGCAAACAAUGUCAUGGGAAUAUUACUGUACUGAGUUCGUCCCCACACGUAUGCGACUCGAAGCUCAUCGGUUUGACAUGGGGUGUCUAUCAUUCUGGGGUUAGCAUGUCUUUUAUUUUGAUUAUUAAAAUAAAACUAUGGGUUGAGUUGUAAUGAGGUUGUUUGUGUUUAGUUCUUGUAUUAGAAACAUAUAAAAGUUCUAUGAAUAUCUGCCCGAUAUUUACGAUUUUUUCACCUACGAGUAAAACUAUCUUGUGUAAUAGUUCCGCCUUAGCUUCCUUGUAUGAUUUAUCGUGUGUUUAAUUUGUAAUGUAUGUUUAUCUUUUAAUUAUAAGUUUAUAUAUUGAAAUCAGAAGAAAAACACGAAAAGUGCAGAAAACCUCCCAAUUUUCCGAAUUUUUCGCGAAUAUUCGCGAAUAUCCGUGAAAAAUUUCGGUACAUUCGAAUUUACCAAAACUCCCAUAUCCGACAUGGGAGGUCGGAUAUUCGCGGAAUAUAUUGUUUUUUGGGAGGUCGGAUAUCUGCGUUUAAACGACAUUUUCACCUAUGGUUUAAUCUAAAAUUUUGUAAUUUUUAUAAUGGUUUUUGUUAAAUAAAAGUGUUUUGUCAAUUUUAGAUGGUUAAAUGAGAAUGAGUAUUUUAGUUAUUUAUUGUCAAAAGAGGUAUUCUGAUAAUAUUAUUGAAAAAAAAAAAACAUUGAUUUUAUGAAAAACAGAGGUGUUUUUGGCGAUUUCAUAAAAACUAUUUGAAUGUGGACGCGCAGUGCUUGUGCGUGUCUGGAUUAAAUAUGCCUCUUAGAUAAAAGAAAGUCCAGCCUAAGAACCAUUAAAUCAUACCUAGCCCAGAACUAUUGAAUCAUAUUUUUUUCUUGCUUUUGUUCGUAGGACCCACCAACAGAUAUAUUUUAGCGCAGAGAAAAUAGCUGAAAUUAAAAUUUAUUGAACAUGUGUUUUUAUCGGAUUGGCCAGACCACAGUCGAACUAAAAAAUCAAUUUUUUUAUUAUUUCCUAUCUAAUCAGAUAAUAACACAUACUCCAAUCACUAUUCUUAAGCCCUGCUCUCUUCUAAAGUAGUAAAGAUAUUGUAUUUUUAUAAUGUAAUGGAAAAAUGGUAUUUUGGUCAUUGAAAUCAAAUAAAAAAUUUUGGUUUUGUUUAAUAAGAGUAUUUUGAUAAUUCCAUAUGAUUGAAUAUGAUUUGGUAGUGGUAUUUUGAUAUUUUUUUAUUAAAUAAAAGUAUUUAGAUAAUUUAAAUAUUAAAUAAAAAUAGUGGGCUAAAUUAUUGGGCUAUUUGUGUUAUUGGGUUGAAUGGGUCAUUGAACAGUUUCUGGGCUUUAUAUAAAUGUGUCAUGGACUGAAUAUUGUAUCCUGUUAUUCCUGUACUGGUAUGGUAUGGUAUGGUAUAGUAUUAUAGUAGGACAUGUUGCAACAACUUUGUUACCGGAGACCAAUAAUCUCUACUACGACAUAUAUUUUACCAACGCCAAUUGGAAUGUGGAUGCGUGAAUCUGUCGGCAGGCGCAUGUGUACGUGUGUAUACGUGAGAAUGGAAAGCUCAUAUGUACCACCAAAACUCCAAGAACUUUUGUAUAAAUAGAUCCUCUUUGAUUCAAAAAUUCCAUCAAGAUCGGAAAUCUUUCACCAAUAAUUAUAAACUCGCGUUAAAGUUAGUUAUUAAUUAGCUAGUAUUUAUUCUCCAUGGCUUUUGCUAAUAGUCUAUUCUCCUCUCCUUUUCCAAUUGUUUCAAGCCAUAACAUACAAGAUAUGACUGCUUCUUCCAAGUCUGUUACCUUCAAACAAAUCCUUAGCAAUUCUUUCAAGCUGCAGGUUGCUAGACCUCCUAAUAAAGAUUACAUUGUAAGCAUUCCAAACUUCACAAAAACAAGUUUAUGGCCUUGUUAAUUACUAGUGAUGGUUCAUUUUUUAAUUGGUCUGUUGCUUAUUAUCACUUAUUUAUUUGUUCCUUGUGAAGAUUCGUCAUCAGGAAAAACUGAAUGAAGUUAGUCAGGUACUUCGCAACACUCAAAACCAAUUAGAUUGCAUGAUCAUGAUUGAUACUCUUCAACAAUUUGCGAUCGAUUAUCACUUCCAAGAGGAGAUACAAGAUGUCUUAAGUAGGCAGUACAGAAGCCUUGUGUCUGAUGGUGGCACUUUCACUGUAGCUAAUGACAAUAAUUUGUGUAACGUAUCCCUUUGCUUUCGAUUACUGAGGCAGAACGGUUACCCUGUGUCUUCGGGUAGGUUAUAUAUAUAUAUAUAUGUUCUUAUUUCAUAACAAUAAGAUCUCUAAUUUGCUGCAUAAUCUUCAAACCAGAUAUCUAAAGCAUAAAUUUGCUUUAUGAAACAGAUGUGUUCAAAACAUAUAUGGACAAACAUGGGAAAUUUAGACAGCAGUUGACCAAUGAUUUAAGUGGAAUGACCAGUUUAUAUCAGGCAUCACACCUUGGAAUGGCAGGUGAAGACAUACUAGAUCGUGCUUAUGCCUUUACGGGCAAGUACCUUUGUGACUCCAUGCCACAUGUUGGUCCAGAUCAAGCGUGUGUUAUCACUGAUACCUUAGACCAUCCCUAUCACAUGACCUUAACUAGGUUCAAUGUCAAAAACUGCAUCAAAUAUCAAGAAAGGGAGAGUCGAACAUGUGGUUUCCUAUUGCAAGAACUUGCCAAGAUGGACUUCAACAUUGUUCAAUCCCUUCACAACAGCGAACUUCUACAAGUUCUAUCGUAAGUACCAUAUAAACAUUACACAGUUCUACUGCAAAAUCUGCUAGUCAUCUUAACAAGUCGUAACCAAAGUAACGGCACACUGUGAUAUCAAUUCUGUCCUUGUUAGGUGGUGGGAAGACCUAGGUCUAACAGGAGAGUUAAAGUUUGCAAGAGACCAACCAGUGAAAUGGUACAUGUGGUCUGUGGCCACACUUGCAGAUCCAAGGUAUACAGCAGAAAGAAUUGACCUAACAAAAUCUAUCUCCCUCAUCUACAUAAUGGAUGACAUUUUCGAUGUUUACGGGACACUAGACCAACUUGUGUUAUUCACUGAAGCAAUCAACAGGUGAGACGUCGACACUCCAUUAAACAUGAAUUGAAAGAAAAAGUGUGUCCUAUGCUCAAGAAAUAUGUGAUAUGUCUCAUACAGAUGGGAAGUUGACGAGCAACUACCAUAUCCCAUGAAGAUAUUUUUGAAGGGCUUAUACGACAUCACUGACGAAAUUAGCUAUAAGAUCCUCAAGAAACAUGGAUGGAAUCCUAACAACUCCUUGAGGAAAGCGGUAUAUUCUCUAUUGCUCUUACCACUUGAACAUUAUUUCUUGGAAUGAUUUUAAAAGAGUUCAUAAUACAUUUAUGUACAUGUUCUUGAUUCAGUGGGCACGCUUAUGCAAUGCAUUUCUUGUUGAAGUAAAAUGGUUUGCCUCAGGACAUAUGCCAACAUCAGAAGAAUAUUUGAAAAAUGGAGUGAUAAGCUCAGGAGUUCAUGUGUUGUGUUCUCAUAUAUUCUUCCUUAUGGGUCAAGGUAUAAACGAUGGAAGUGUAGAUCUCCUGGACAACGUUCCUGGCUUAGUAUCUUACCCUGCAACAAUUCUUCGUCUCUGGGAUGACCUGGGAAGCGCUAAGGUAUGUAAUAUCAUAUCUUCUUUGAAAUGAUUUAAAACGUUCUGAUUUACUGUAAAAAACACGGUGGGAGAGAAUAUUUUUCUGGCAUUUUCUUCUUUAGUAGAGAAAGAUUCCAAUCGAAUAGAGCAAUGGAAAGAACAUCAACACAUGACCCCGCGAGUCUUAAUUUGACAAAAACCACUCAUUUUCUUGGGUCCUAGAAGUCCUGAUAAGUGGUGAAUGAUUACAUCAGGUGAAUCGUUCAUGUUUAUUGUUUAGUACAAGAAUCACAUGGAAAGAAUAUCUAUAGAGUAUCACAUUCAAGGUGGAUCCUGCAUUCACCAUAGCCACUCUAAGUGCAGAUACCAACAGACAGCAGUACUCUACUCCCACAGUUGUAGUAGUGUGGGGUACUAGUAAUCGACUUUAAUCGUGUGUUAGACAUCAGGUAGUCCACCUCAGACAUGAAGUGUGUCAUGAUAUAUAGCGCGACUUCAUCUGCUUAAUGUUCGUAUACUUUUAUUAUUCUGGCAGCUGUCAGGAUGCUGCCCAGGAACCGCUUCUGGCCGACUUUCGUAACAUGGAUAGUUGGACCUGGUGGAGUUCUAGCUUUGGCAUGCAUGAGAUUGUAGUUAUAUGAAUGAUUAAUGUAGCUCUACAUAAACAGCAUAAUAUUGUUAAAUGCAUGGCUCAUAUAUAUUACUUCAUCCAACUAACUUCUACAAUUGCCUGUUUACGCUAAACUGAUUAUGAAUCAUUUUCAUUUGUUGUUUUCGAUUUAAUUGAUAGGAUGAGAAUCAAGAAGGAAAUGAUGCAUCAUAUAUAGACUAUUAUAUGAAGGAGCACAGUAGCUCAACGAUUGAUAGUGCAAGAGAACAUGUCUUCAAUAUUAUUUCAAACACAUGGAAAAAGUUAAAUGAAGAAGCUUUCUCACCAGGUCCAUUCUCCCUGUCUUUUAGAAAUGCUUCACUCAAUGCAGCACGAAUGGUUCGUUUGAUGUACAAUUACGAUGGAAAUCAACGAUUGCCAAUACUUGAGAAGCUGAUAAAAUCAUUGCUGUAUGAAAGGAUUGCUCUGGACGAUAAUUAGAAUCCCAAAUAUGUUGUCGUUUUGGAGUUGAGAACUUUCUUAGGGUCUAGACUGUUAAGAUGGUUAUGUACUACUAUUGAGGGCAUCCAAUAUUCAAAGUAUCACAAAGUAUUGAUUUUGGGAUAUCCAUUUCCAAUCAUGUUAUAUCACCAUUGUAUUGUAUGUUUUAUGUAUUUAGAGGUAAAGUGUAUCAACAAGAAGUCAAGUUGUCAGACACUCAGACAUCGCCUUGCUUGGGUGCUUCCUCAGACCUCCUAAUUAUAUAAGAUCAUCUGGGAGUUGAUGCAAGUAUGUUGUAUGCUUGACAGUUCAGGGAGCUCCACUAUAAGUCCCAGUCACAAUUGUCUAGUAUUCACGACUUACAAGGACCAAACAGAGAACCUAUCAGACUGCAGAAUUCCGAUUCCUAGAAGAAGGUCUUCAGUAAUAACACCCAAAGUUCAAUAACCAAAAGUGUCAGUUUGUUCUCAAAGAUAUGUACAUAUAUUUCUGCACAGCACAGAGGAUAUCAGAUACGUUCACCACUAGUGGAUAAGAAAAUAUAAAUAGAGAAAGUGCGUCUUUGAAGUUGCCCAUUGAUCUUUCUUUAUCCUCCUUUUCUACGGCCAUACAGGCCUAGUCGUCAACCUGGCAAGGCCCCGCUUCACUCUCGGUGACUGUAAGAAACCUUCCCUUUUGUCUUUCCUGAAAGUCUGGGUGUUAAACGACUCCAAAGAGAGUGAGUGACCACGAAUGAAUCAAGGAGGAAGAACUAGCGGGCUUUCUAUAAGUUUUUUACCACUGGUGGAGUGUGGGUAAGAAAAUAUAAAUAGAUAAUGACAACUAGAAACUUACCCUCAGGAACUUGCAACGUAAGAGAUAAAAGAUGAAAAAGAGUAGAAAAUAAAGACCUGGUGGUAUUGACUAUUGAGUAUUGACAUUGUUGUUGCUAGCACCCUAACAGGAUUCAACUUUCCACAGUACUGACAAAUGAGAAGUAGAAUAGGGCCAGGCGGCCAGCCAUCUCUGAAGGAUCUAAAGAGAAAAAUACAAUAAAUGUACAUCUUACCAACAUGGUUAACAGAUAAUUCUGAGAAUUCCCAAACCAAUCAGCAGACUGUUAUAAAGCAUGAAGCCCUGGAGACAAAGCAUUCUUUAACUAUUGUAGUGAAAGUAUACUAUAUACCAUAAAGCAUCUAAAACAUCUUUUUCUAGACAAAGAACCUAAGACAUAAAACCAGUAACAAUCACACACUGAAUUUUCAUCUAAUAAACAUAUAUUGAUGGGGAUCCACUUUUACAUGCCAAUACUAAUAAGCAUGUUGACAUUCGUUCAAUAGAUUAGUCUCUCUCACAAGGAAUGAAACAAAGAAAUAAAGGGAAAAAAAAAAUGAAUAUGACACAAAAAAAUACACGAGGUUUGGGCGUAUGGCUGUACAAGUUCGUGAUUUGGGGAAAGAAACAACCGGAAUGGAGAAAUGCUACUCUAAACUCAGCCCAUCCAUGUCCACAUACAAACUGAACUUCCAACCCCAUACAUCCAUCUCCCAAGAAACCCCACAAAUCACAAUAUUACAUACAUGUCGAAAUUCCUUUGGGUAGAACAACAACUUUGAACAAAUGACCUCCUAUCUGAUAAGACAAUGCAACACCAAGCAAGGAACAAUCGCACUUUACACCAUCGUUUACUUUUCCAUUAUGCUGUGUUUGUCAAUUGAAGUGGCUUGGAAGGUCAAAAAAUUUGAUGACUUCAAAAAAGCUCCUCGGAAUUUAACUUGUUCCAAGAUU
rnacentral:lncRNA from 1 species